rnacentral:lncRNA from 1 species
GUGAUGAGCAAGUCCCCUAACAAGCACAAUCGACUGUACAUGGAAGCACGACCCAUGGAGGAUGGACUGGCAGAGGCUAUUGAUGAUGGCCGCAUUGGACCACGAGAUGAUCCUAAAGUUAGGUCUAAAAUUUUGUCAGAGGAGUUUGCUUGGGACAAAGAUCUUGCUAAGAAGAUUUGGUGCUUUGGUCCUGAGACUACCGGCCCUAACAUGGUGGUUGAUAUGUGUAAGGGAGUUCAAUACCUGAAUGAAAUCAAGGAUUCCGUUGUUGCUGGUUUCCAAUGGGCGUCGAAAGAAGGUGCAUUGGCGGAAGAGAACAUGAGAGGCAUCUGUUUUGAAGUGUGUGAUGUGGUGGCUUCACGCUGAUGCCAUCCACAGAGGAGGUGGUCAAGUGAUUCCGACUGCUAGGAGGGUAAUCUACGCUUCUCAGCUGACUGCCAAACCAAGACUUCUUGAGCCAGUGUACCUAGUGGAGAUUCAGGCUCCGGAGCAAGCUCUUGGUGGUAUCUACAGUGUUCUUAAUCAAAAGCGUGGGCAUGUCUUUGAGGAAAUGCAGAGGCCUGGCACACCUCUUUACAACAUCAAGGCAUAUCUCCCCGUCAUCGAAUCAUUUGGGUUCUCGAGCACUUUGAGAGCUGCAACUUCUGGACAGGCAUUCCCACAGUGUGUGUUUGACCAUUGGGAAAUGAUGUCUUCAGAUCCAUUAGAAAGUGGGUCUCAAGCUGCGCAGUUGGUUGCUGAUAUCAGGAAGAGGAAGGGGUUGAAGGAGCAAAUGACCCCACUUUCCGAUUUCGAGGACAAGCUGUAGAUUGAGCUCGCAUUGUUGGUUAAUAUAUUUAAGAAUCGCCCUUAAAUCCGCAGGUUUGAGGUUCUAAUUUCCUAUGGGAAGUUUUUUGUUUUUUGAAAAGAUUGUUGUUAUGUUUGAGUAUUUUAAUUGCAAUUAUUUUUAAGAACUAUUGUUACUCCAUUUCUGUCAAAAAGAUGCGUGAUGAUGGGCAAAAUUUUGGAGUUUUCAGGAUUUUCUUUUGGUUUAUUUAUUUACCUUUCAAAGUUGGUUUAAAUCUUGAUUUAGUUCUUGAAAUCAUAAGAUGCUUUGUAUUUUGGUUCCAAAACCUUGGUUUUAAUUUUAUUUUGGUCCCUUUUUAUUUUUAUAAAUUAAUAAUACGAAGACAGUAAAGUGCCCUAACAAUUAACACUAACAUUUAUACUCAAGAGGAUAUGGCUUUGGAAUAAUAAGCUUUGAAUGCUGGAAAUGAAACAUAGUAAUGUCUACCAUUGUUAUUUUUUUUCCUUUCAAGUUUUAAGAAUUUAAUUCUACAUUUUAAAAGUAUAGAAUUCAAAUGUUAUACAAAUACAAUAAUUUGUAUGUUUUAGAAGGAUUUGAACUACAAAUAAGUUCUCUUUAGGUGACAGAUUUCAAAUUUUUUAGUCGUUGGAUUCAAAUGCUAGAAUUUUUAUUUAAAGAUUCUCAAAUAUCAAAAUCUUGAGGGUUAUCACUGGAGGGUUAUGUUUUAGGCUUAUUAUAACCCCACUUUCUUCUCUCUCUUCCUUCUAAAUCUCUCUUUAAUUCCUCCAUUUUCUAUUAUUUCAUUUAUUUUUAAAAUUUUAUUCUUUUGUUUAUCGAAUGUUUUUUCUUUUUAAUUAAUAAGAAUAUUUUUUUAAAAUUUAUUUUAUUUACGAAAUUAAUUUUAAUUAAAUUUGUUUACGCAUUUAACGUUUUUUUAUAAUUUCAUAAUUUUAUGUCUUUUAUUUAUUUUUCUCUUUUUAUUUGUUCUGUACCUUUUCAGAUAUGUUAUUUCAAAACUAAUCUAUCAUAUCUAAACUAUUCAUGAUAAAUUUAAGUUAAAUGAUUUUCUAAAAAAAAAUUGAUUUCAUUAAAUUUAUAAAACAACAAAAGCGAAAUCAAUAAAAAUAACUUUGGAAUAAUUAAAUAACAUAAAAAAAAUGUUUAACAAAUAUUUUAAAAAUAUUUAAACUUUAAUUGUACAAAUCUUUUUUUAAAAAAAUUUCUUUAAAAAUUUAAUUUAAUGACAAAAUUUGAUUUAAAAUUUAUUUGAAUUAAAUUUUGAAUCUAAAAUCUUUAUCAAACUAUGUUAAUACUUUUUUAUAUCUUCCAUCCAUUUCAUUAUAAUAGUCUAUAAAUACUUGUUGCUUCAAAGAACAGAACAACAAUCCUCUUGUUUAAAUGAAAACACAGUAGUUUAUUCAAUUGAGUACUUAAAAAAGUUGAAAAUUUCACGUCGAAUUUAAAGAACUAAGAUAAAUUAUUUUAAAUAUAUGAAAUUUGUGUAUUAGAUUUAGAAUAUAAAUUUUUAAAAAAAGUAUAAAAGAAUAAAUUUCAUAACAUUAUUUACGUAAUCCUUCUCCCGAAUCCAUCUUAUCAAAACUACCCUAUAACUAUUUUUCAAAAUACAUAUUAACAUAACACUAUCUAUCAUAAUUAUUUCCUCAAAUCCAUACUAUCGUAACACUAGUUUUAUCAUCGCAUGAGUCAUUUCAUAAUCCAACAUUUCCUCUAAACGGUCCCUAAAGAUUUUCAGAGAGUAGUAUGAAAAUAAAUGAUAUUGUGGACUCUAAUUUCCUCGAAAGAGACAAAACUAUGUUUUUAAUAAAUGAUUUUUACAAAUGACAAUGGACACAUUUGUAAAAGUAACCGUGGGAGAAAAUUUUAGCACUAGGAUCUACCGGAGGUGCCUAAAUAAUAGAAUGAGGGAGUAUAUGUUAUUGUAAAGUUAAAAUAUUUUUCAUUGUAAAUUGAAUCAUAUAAUUAUUAAAAAAUGACAUAACUUCAACGUCAAACACAUGGUAUAAUUAAGUCUUCUACUUAUUUGAAAAUGUUAUCUUCAUAGACAACUUUUAAGAACAGGACCUUAGUGCUUUUAGUGACCCCAUAAUGAGUCAUGAGUCAUUACCAUUCCCAAAAUUUUUCAUUAUAUAGAUAACUUGGGUGGAAAAAACUGGAUUAAAAACCUAUAAGCCAAUUGAAAUCAACUAAAAUGGGAUCCACACCAAAGCUAAAAUCCAUUAUCUCGCCCUCUCAAAAGUUGUUCCAAGUCUCACCACACAAAUAUUAACUAUAAAAAGUCGAUUUUAGUUUUCUGAAGUUGAAUGUAGCUAGAUGAAAGAAAACGCUAUUAAAACAAUUUGAGUAUUCAUCUAAUAUGUAUUCUUGCAGCCACAUACAUAUUUAAUAGAACUUUAUGGACUCAAGCUUCUCCAACUUUAUACUCUUAUAUAUACAUAAACAUACACACACAUAUGCAUAUAUAAUUCACAUAGUAUCAUACCACUCACUAGCAUUUGUCUUUCAGCCCCCUUUCAUACUUGAGUUAAUGUCACAUCCAUUCAAAUUAUUUUUACUGCAUCAUAAAACCCCAUGUCAAUAAUGGUUUGUUAUAAUCUAAAAAUGAAGGUUCAAUCCUUAUCUUCUGUUAUUAGAAAAUGCAUGCCUUUCUUUUUUUCGAUUUUGAGGCUUCUUGAAUAACGAUAUAGUGAAAAGCCAAUAAAGAAAGAGAUAUAUUCUUUUAUAUUUGUAAUUGGAUUCUUAAACCAAACAAAGUUAGGGAGUUGCGAGCUCUUGUAUAACCCCAAAAUGUUGAUAUUGUUAGUUUGGAAGUGCUUUCUUAGUUAUUGAAUAUUGACUAUAGAAAAUAUUUGUUGUGCUAGAAAUUGGUAGUUUUUCAAGAAGCAUCCAUAUUUUGAAAAGAGUGAGGAGAUAGACUAAUGAGGUAUGGUGGUUUUUCAACACUCACUACCUCCAUCGAGGACGAGGAAAAUGAAAUAAUUUUUAUUAAAAAAUAUUAUUUUUUUAAGAAAACUUUUUAUGUUAAAAUAAAAAUAAUAUUCACUGUUAUUUUUUAUUUUCUUUAUUAUGAACAAACGAAGGCUACACAUUCAAUGUAACCUCAAACCCUAAGAAACUUGGAAUUUUCAAAGAGUUUGAAAGGAUGAAUCUAAAUAAAGUAAAUAUGAGAAAGUAGGCUUGAGAAGUGUCACUGUAAGUGUGUCAUGGUAGGUAGAAAGAUGGAAAGCUAAGAAGAAAGGGUUUAAGAGUUAAGAAGAUUAGGUUAAAAAGAGAAAAUUUUUGGCUAACUCCAUGGCCUAAGCAUUUUGGGGCUUGGCUAAAAAGAAGAGAUAACCUCCAAGCAUUUAGACAAGAGUGGGAGGCAAGCUUGAGUUGUGGAUGUGUGGCCAAGAAGGUUGAAAUAACUUCCAUGUGUGCUUGGCGAGAUGACCUUGGCUAGGUGAGAAGAGUGUCCAUAGAGGUUAGUUGGGACGUUUAGGCUUGGUGAGAAAGACUUCUUAAAGGUUUGUGAGGCGUGGAAGAUAGGUGUGGAGGGCAUGGCUAUGUGAGAUGAGGUUAGCAGCCAUGUCAAGUGAGGUUAGUAAGGCAUUUCCAAGGACUCAAGGCAUUUUGAGUGAGGUUAGGUGAGAUGUAGAAGAAGUGGAGUCGGUGAAGUACUUUAUAGAUGUCAUGUGCAUGCUUAGGUUAAAUUUCGAUAAACAGGAGGUGUCAAUAAUUUCUCAUGCAAGGUUCAAUAUUAAUAGGUCAUUUCCAAUUGAAAUUUCUUCCAAUUUACUCAUGCGUUUUUGCUGAAAUUGGUCUUAAACAUUCAUAAAUUGUGUUCAUUUUGUAAGCUAGGGCUCCUAGUUUAAUAUGAUGAGACGAAGGUUGAAUUUGAGUUGAAAGAAGGGAGAAUGGUCAUUCUCGAAAGGAUUUUGAAUAGUCUUCACUUCAAGGAGGCUACAGAACACAAUACGUAAAGGUUUUCGCUGAAAUUUGAGGUACGAAAGUUAAGACAUUUUCCAGCAACUUUGUAGAAUAAAAUAUUUUCAUUCAAGUUCUGAAUGUUAAGAUUAAGCUCUAAAGGGAAGUUAAGGUUCUAGCCGAAAAAUGGUGUUCAUUGCAGUGUUGGUGGUUGGUUGAGUGUAAGUGGGUUUUAGGCGAGAUGGACGUGUGUUUUGGAUUAAAAUAGGUUAGCGUGUGUGUUGGCUUGUAUUGGACGCCCAACCUGCCCACAAAGUGUCAUUGUCAAGCAAGUGCAUGACAAACCCUGCGCGUGCGAAAGGCCACACGAGAUGCUUGAGGCCCGCAUAGCAUGCCUCCUUGCAAGGUUAGCACACGACAAGGCCUGCCUAGGCUUUGCACGUGUGUGCCACCCUUGCCACCCACCCCAUGUGCGUUAGCCAUGCUAAAUAUGCGUUUUUGGGCCGUUUCAAGAAUUUUUGAGAACUUUAAGUGAAGUUAUGAUGUUUUUAUGAUUAAAGGGAAUUAAAUAGAAUUAUUUCUUGUUAUCUCAGGUUAAGAGAAGAUUGAAAAAAUUUAUAGACCAAGGGUUUGAGGUGCCAUCUGUGAGUGACAACAUGAUUUCUAAAUGACAAUUCUAAAUAUGAUUUACAAGCUACCAUUUAAAUAUGUUUUGAGAUGAUUACUGAUCUAUACUGAUUAUGAUAUCUUGAUUUCCAAGCACGUUUAUGAAAAGUACUUGAAUAUGCCUAAUUUGAAAUGUUUUAAUAAAGCAUGUAUUCUUUGACCUGAGUAAGGUUUAGAGAAACUGCAAGGCAUCAUUGAGGUUUCCUCAUAUUAGUCUCGCUUCAAGAUUAACGAGGAGUUUAGUCAAGGGCCUAGGUCAGAUGAAAACUUUAUCUUGGUUGUGAGCGGUUUUAAAAUAUUUUGAAAACCAAAAGGGUUUUCAACUCAUAUUUGAACUAUUGAGUAUUGAUGUUUAUUUAAUGCUACCAUUUGAUUUGGAAAUGGAUUAUGAUUUGUAAAAGGUUUUUAGUACCCUAUGUGAUGAAUAUUGCCUUACACUUGCUUUGUGAUCUGGUAUAAGAUGUCUUACAUUUGCUCUGUGUUUUGGUGUAAGAUGCCUUACACUUUCUUUGUGUUCUAGUGGAAGACAACUUAUACUUGUUGUGUGGUUUGAUUUAAGAUUUCUUUUGCUUGCUUUGUGAUAUUGCAUUGAAAGAUGUGCUAUGCCUAUAUGGAAUUGAUGGUAUUUGUUGCGUGCAUUGAGAUUACCCUGAACAACUGCAACUCAAAUAUGAGAAUAAUAAUAACAUUUCAGCUGAGGAUGAGUGCAUUUGUGAAGCAUUGAGAAUUUAUGCGAGGAAAAGAUGAAUUUCCAAAGAGAAUAUUUGUGAACUAAGUGUUGUGGAUUUUGAAUAUUUAAAAUUGCUUAAGGGCAGUAGAAUGGUUUUUGGAUUUGAAAUGCAUGUUCUUGUCAAUCCUGUUAUGUUUCCAAAAUGAAUUUCAAGUUUAUGAUUAUGCAUUUUGUUUACAAAAACCUAUUUAAAUUAAAUGUGUUGAUGAAAAUUCUCACUCACUAGACAUUUUGUCUAAUUUUUUAAAUGUUUUGUUUUUCCUCAGGUAGCGAAGGACAUCUAGAGUUUGAUUUGUCGUUUUGAUAACAUGUUGUGCCAUAGUUGCAUCACAUCUUGUUAGUGAUAUCCACUCACUACUACAAAACCUAUAAUACUUGACGCUUGUAGUUUUGAAAUACUUGACGCUUCUAAUAAAAACUGUCAAGUAAUGUAAAAAACGUCAAGAAUAAUAAUUAGUGAAAAAAGAUAUAUAUAUAUUUUUUUAUUUCAAAAGCAUCAAGAUUAGUGGUAAUUACUUGACAUUUUUUAAAUGUCAACUAAUAUAUAUUUUCACAUUUUUCUUAUAAAAAAAAAUUCUCUUUUUUUAUUUUCCCAAAACUCCCUUUCCCCAUUUCUAAAAAAAUCUCGAAGUUUUUCCUCCAAUUUGUUUUUCCUCUUCCCCCAUUUUCUCCCAUCACCAAACGAACACCUCCUCGUUCGUCUUCCCCGUUACUCUCUCCAUUCGUGCACCACCACCUUCAAUUGUCAGUUGAUAGUUUUUAUUUGUCUUCUCUGUUCGUGCGGCACCACCUCCUCGUUCGUCUUCCCCCUCCCUCUCCCCGCUUUCACAAUUUUACAUUGUUCCAAAAUUUAAAAUCCAAUUGAUGACUGGUUGUAUGUUACAUUGAUGUUUGAAGUUUAAAAUCUUCAAUAUAGAGUGUCUGAGAAGACGCCACUUCGUCUUCGUCUUCGUCUUCCUCUUCGAUUUCCUUCCCAUUGCCUCCCUUUCAAUGCCCUAUUUCCUCUACCAAGUUCUUGCUUGGUUGGUUCAGACACCAAUCAACCAACCAUUUUUAGUUUCUCUUUUUGUUGGGAAGAAAAAACAUGAUUAAAUUUUAUCAGAAUUCUUCAAUUGAAUGGAAGCCCUCUCCUCUAGUUGCACAAGCCUCUAGUGCUGAUUAUUCUCAGGUGGCGAGUGCCCGAGAAGACAACUUGCUUGAGAUUUGGCUGAUCUCUCUUGGUUCUGUUGGGUGACACUGUCGGUUGGUAUGGUCGCACUAUCAUUUAUUCGAUUCUUGGUCCAACCGAUUGAUUUUGAAGUUUGAUUCAAUUGUGCUUUUUAUGCCGAGUGUAGCCACCUAUUUUUAUCCUACUCAUAUAUAUCUUUUUUUAAAUAUUAAUAUUAGUAAUAAUUGCUAAAUUAUUUAUUUAUUUACUUUUAAAAAAGGUAAAAAAAAUUAAUAAUAACAUAAUAUCUUAUAAUAUUUCAUUUUUAUCAUUUUAGGAAACAAAAAUAAAUCAAAUUUUUUUAAAAAAAAUCUUUUAAUAUUAUAUUUGUACUAUUUUAGGAAAAAAGAAAUGAAUUUGUUUUAAAUAAAAUCUUCUAAUAUCAAUUUUGACUUACUUAAAUCAUUUUAGGAAAAAAGAAAAUCAAUUUUAAAUAAAAGUAUCUUAAUAUUCAUUUGAUAUAUUAAUUUAUUUUUCACAAAAUCUCAAAAUUCAUAUUUUAUUUUAAAACUAGCUCUUUUGAGGACGUCGGCCGCUCCGCGUCGUCUUGGGCACGUGGCGACAUAGAGCAUUAGUGGAAAUCCCACUUUUAGGCUGUCAUCACUUGUUUGGUGUUUUGCUCGUUCAAAAGAUAGGCUUUUUGGUUGUUUAUUUUCAUCCAACAUUAAUGGUUCCAUUUUGGAGUAGGAUUUGUUUGAUUUAAAGCAGAAAGUAUACACUCUUGUUUUUUUUAAAGAAAUUCUGUUAAUUUGUCGUAGUCUUAUGGACUUCAAGUUAAUGGUUUAAUGUGUUGUUUCUAAUGUUCAACAAAGCAUCUGUGUCUAUUUAAAUGUUGCAGUGGCGUUUAUGUAAUAUUCAUUCUUCUUUAAAUGCUAUAUGAAACACAAUGAGUGCAGUAUUUAAAUUCACCGAAGAUAUUUGAAUAUUGAUACGAAAAUUAUUGCUAGAAUGGUGAAAUUUGCGGUUAGUAAUAUAUCUCAAUAUGACUUUGGGUCUUUAUGGAGUACUGUAUUUAGCUUGAGGGGAAAGAUAUUCUUUUUAACUAAUUUACCAAGCUUUAUUUGGGGAGAAUACUUUUUAAUGAUGACAUUCAUGUUAGAACCUUUUUGUUUUACUAAUUCGAUAAUCUCAAUCAACUCUACUAUAAUCAUCAUUGUUGAAUGUUAGGAGACAACUUCUGUGGUACUUGCUUGGCUCAUUUCAGCUUUAAAGGUUGUUGGCAGAUCCUUAACUGAUCAUAGGUUUUUAUUCCUUGGAGCUGGAGAAGUAAAUCCAUAGUAUAGACUAAGUUGGGCUAAAGAGGAUAUUUUAUAACCAAGUUGUUUGUACUUAAACCAUUUUGUAUCUGUAAUUUGCUUAACACUAGAUUUUUAUGCAAACUCUUACGUAUUUAUGAAGUACUUUCUUUUUUAAGAUUUUCAGUUUAAACGUCUAAUGCAUUUGGGUAUGUUAUAUGUCUUAUGUGGAGUAGUCUAUGUGAUACAAACAUUAGACAAUGUAGUAGCAAGUGAGAGUCUAAGCGUUUCAUAGAAUGAAACCUUCCACUAAAUCAACUAAGUAUGUAGUAGUAUUGAUUAAAGAAGUAAAAUAAUGGCGAGGAAAUUUCACUUACUAGGCGCCAAACGAGCUAUCUCGUGGUGAGAUAGGCAUUGAGUGUCUAGAAGGUCACAAUUUCUCUGGAUCGCGUGGGUUGGCCUUGGGAGGGGGUGUGACAUGUAGAAAUGGUUAUGAGGUACUUAAAGAAAACCUAAAGUCUAGGAUUACAAUAUCCGAUGUUUUAUGCUAUUCUCUAAUGUUACAACAAUGUGAACUAAAACUCCCUCUUGAAUGACUCAUAGUCUUCCAGUGGCUAUUUCUUUAACAUAGCAUGAGGAGUUGUUUCCUAGAAGUCCAAGAAAUUGACUAUUUUGGCUUAGUUGAUGAUGGAGUCAAAGAUGAUAACAUUAGAAAUUGCUAGUGAAGAAGCAAACUGGCUUAAAAGUCUGCUAUCAUAGAUUCCAUUAUGCAAAAAAUCGAUACUAGCCAUCUUGAUCCAUUGUGAUUAUACUGCAACAAUCGUAAAAGUUUAGAACCAUUAUUUAUAACAAAACGAGAUCAUAAAUUCAUCGUAAACACAACACCAUUAGAGAGUUCUUCACUACUAAUUUAGUUAAAGUGGAUCAUAUAGAGACUAAUGAGAACCUAAUAGAUUCUUUGAUUAAAGGACUAGCUAGAGAGAAGGUUUUCAAAACCUUAAAAAGGACGAGGCGUAUGCCUAUAGAAAAAUGAAUCACUGGUGAGAAAAAUAUAACGUGUAGAUUAGAGAUUCCAAGAAAUAGGUUCAAAGGGUAAUAAUUGAUCAUAAAAGAUAUGAAGUGAAUCGUGUAAAACAUUAUAGAGUUAUUUCCUAUGACUUAAAGUCACAACAUGAUAUCCUAAAGUGUAAGAAAGGUAGAACUUAGUUCUUAGUGAGAUCUAUACUUAAUGCAAAUAAAGUCCCUAACUAUAGGAGUAUUCUUGAUAGACUUACCUAUGUGAAUGUGGAGGUGAGAGCCGCCUCCUAUGAAAUUUUAAGCAAAUUCUCUAUUCACAAAAUUAGAAUACACAUUCUGGACCUUAAAACACAAACUUUCCAAUUACACCUUAGAAAUGUUGUGUGUUUGAUGUUGUUAGAGGUAAGAUUCAAAACCAAGAGUUACUUUAGUAUAUUCUAAAUCAUCUACACUAGGUAAAAGUUCAUGUGUAAGACACCUUUGCUUAUGCACAACAUUUCAGAAUGAUAUUGCUGGAAGAAAAAUGUUAAAAUUUUUAAAUGGGGGAUUGUUAAUAAAAUUUAUUCAAAAUGUCUUUUGAGAGCCCCAUAUUGAUUAUUUUGACGAGGGAAAGUUCCUUUAAAUGCUCUCAUCUUUUUGUAUGCAUUUGAAUCUCAUAGGAUACUAAUGUUUUGAAAAUGGUGAGAAGAUAGACCAAUGGGGUAUGUUGGCCCUUCCACAUGUGUGCAUGCUAGGUCUUUCGGGCGAGGAAUAAUAAUAUUUUAUUAAAAUUAUGAUUAUUUUUUUAAGAAAAACCUUUUAUGAUAAAAUAAGAAUAAGAAACAUUUUUUUUGCCACUAACAAAUGAACGGAGGCCACACACUCAAUGCAACGAUGCUGGUUUUCUAGCCCAAGGUGACACACAUUCUUAGAUGAUCAUGUGUUUCGUUCUCUUUGGCGUCGUGGCUUAUAAAAUCCACCCUUUGCUUCACUUCUCCAACAUGUCAAACACUUCUCUCUCACCUCUCAUCUCCUUUUAUAUAUUUUGUGUUUGUAUCGAGCAAUAUCAAGUUGUUCUGAAAAGGUGUUUUAUCUUAGCAAUUGUUUCCAAUGAAUAAUCGAUCGUGAUUAUGUUUUGUUUUGGUUGUUUUAUCUUGGGGAUGAUGUGACAUAUUUUAGAAUUGCUUGCAUAGACAAUGAUAGAGCUGUAAAACGUUUUAAAGAGAGCAAGCUCCGCAGCUUAUUCUUUAACUAGUUUCUAUUUUGCAUAUUUAAAUUUUUUAUGAUCCAAUGAUUAUUGUUUCCUUUUGUUGACGACUGAACAUCAUAUUUCUUCGAUAUCUUUUCUUAACAAAAAAAAAAAAAAAAGAAAAAAACGUAAAAGUAAACUCAUGAGUUAAUGACAUACACAAUAGAUUUAAUAACACGUCUCUCUAAUAUCUCUAAACAAAAAAGUUAAGACGUCCAACCACCACGAAAAUAUUACCUAGAAAAUUACAUUUUUUUGUUAACAUUUUUUUAAAAAACUCUACUAACAAAUAUUUUGUUAAACCGUGAACACAAUUUUGUUUAAAAAGAGGGGAGUUCGUCUCUCCACCAUCUUAGUGAAUUGCAUUAUUAGUCACAAGGCCUUGCAUUUAAUAUUUCAUAAGCAAAGAAUAAUUAUUACAAAAAGUUUGGCAUCUCUCCAUUUUAAUCAAUGGGUUUAUCUGCCAACUUUAUAUUUAAGAAAGUUGGACAAAUUAAAAAAUGAUUAGGUGUGGUUUGAAAACCAUCUUCUUCUUAAUUUAUUAUUUUUUUUAAAUUUACUAUAACGGUAGUGUCUAACAAAUUAAAAUAAUAUAUUUUUUAAAAAUUCAUUUAUAAAAUAAUCUAUUUUAGAAAAAUCUUUAAAAACUUCGUGUAUAAAAUUUAAACUUAUUUUUAAAAAAAGGUUUAUUAUUAAAAAAACAUUUGGUGACCUUUAUAUUUAUAUUUUUUCUUCUAAAUCUCACCCACAGUUUUUAGAGGAAACACUUGAAUUCCUACCAAAAUUAAUUUUAGAAAUAUACACUUUUUAAUUGCCUCCUUUUUUUUGUUCAAAAGUUUUGUUGAUGGUGCAUUUUAAAAAAUAACAAAAUAAUAAAAUUAAAUAAUUUCAAUAUUUGUUAUCCAUAACCAUUUUCCUAAAUUUAAACCACAAAUUUUUGGAAAUGUAUCCAUUUUCACUCGAAAUUGAUACUUGUGAUAAUUUUAUCAAUCAAUCUAACUUCGUAAUUCAAUAAAUAUAUGUAAAUUAAACUAUCAUUUAAUUAAUUUUUCUUUGAAAACUAUCGGCACAUCUAUCAUAAUGAUCCUUUUUAGUAAUUUGGCAUUUUAAUCAAUAGUUUAAUUGAUUAACUCGUAACGAUUUGAAAGUUUAAUUGAAAUAAUUAUAUGUUUCGAAUGAUAUUUUAAUUCGAAAUAAGUUUGAAGGAUGUUAAAUUGAUAAAUAACAAAAAUUUAGAGUUUAAAUUGUUAUCAUUAUUAGUUUGGAGCAUAUUUUCAAUUACAUACAACAAAAUGAACAAAAUAAUUACAAAAUAUAUCAAUAUUUCAAAAAUAAUUACAAAAUAUAUCAAUAUUUCAAAUUCUGUUAAUGAUAGAUAUUAGAAAAAAAAAUUCAAUUUAGACCCUUCAACUUUGUGGUUUGAAUUAAUUUAAUAGCUAAUAAUUGUAUAAGUCAAAUCCUCAACUUUGGAAGUUGUAUCAAUUUUAACCUUAAACUAAUAAUCAUACCAAUUUAGUCCAUAAACUUUUAGAAAGUAUCAAUUUAGACCUCGAGCUUUUAUAAAUUUAUCAAUUUAAACUCUUCAUGAUGUUUUAGUUGGAGACACAUAUUAAAGUUUAUGAUUUAGAUUGAUGGAGUUUGAAAGUUUAAAAAUGGAUUUUGUUUUGUUUUAUUAUUAUUAUUUUUUAAAGAAGGUUUGAUUUUGUUUCUUUUAAAACAAAAUAAAAAGACAAUGAUUGAAUUGGCAUGUUAGCGUAAGGAACAAAAGGAAUUGAUACCAAACUCAUAAAUUUGGAUAAAGUCGUAUCAAUUCACUAUUUAAGAAUUUAAGUAUAUGGUUAAGAGAAACGAAUGAAGCCCUCGUCAAAGUCUUUUGGGCAUGAAGAAUAUCUCUUAUUUUCUUUAGUCUCGAAUAGUUGCACAACCGAAAUUAAAUUUAUACCGAUCUAAUCUCACUUUGACAACUUCAAAAAAUAUUUAUGAUUUUUUUUUUUAAUUGGGUUAAUUUUACAUGCUUGUUCAUACACAAUUAGUAUAUACACGUAUAAAGUUAACUGAAUUUGUAAAUAUAAUCAGUCAUUUUAAAAUAAUUAGAAGUAGGAGAAUCAAAUCAUGUACAAUCUCGUGAUUACUAAUAUACUUGUAUAUCAAUUGAGCUACGUUUGAUUUGUCUAUUUUAUAUAUGUAAAUAGAAAACAUAAAUAUCUAUAAUUUAUUUUCUAAACUGGAUUAAUUUUACUCACACAUUCAUACCCAUCCAUACACUGUCACUGUCACGUAUGUUCUUUACAUUAUACAUGUGUAAAGGUUGAAAGUUAAUAAACUAAAAUUUGUAAAAUAUAACCCACCAUUCUAAAAAACAAAUCUACCAAAUUGAAUCUUUAAUUUCUAAUUAGAUGUUGAGAGUUGAAACAACGUAACCAAACUAUAAUACCUUACCUUCCGUGUGGGACGUGAAAGCAACUUGAGCAGCCUUAACGCUCUGAAAUAAAACGUCAGAACGCUCAACCUUAAACUUUAAUUCUUAGUCUUAGUGCUUAACUUGAUCUUUAAUCUUAACUACUAGGCGAUAAACUUCACAACAUAGGUUAAAAUAAACAAAUUUAUUUUAUUAGCUUAACAACAACAUGUGUUUCAAUAUAUAAUACAUACUUCUUGAGUACAAAGAACUAUAAGAUAAGGCUCCCAACACCUAGCGCAACUUCUUCAGAUUCACACUUUAAAUGUCUAGUUUAACCCCUUAGCGUCUAGCUUACUCGCCUUACCCUUCUUAAAUUGGCCUUGAUACUUUAGAAAGGGAAACUUAAAACGUAAGUCAAUUACUUAGUGAUUGAGGUUUUGGAAGUCAUUUGGGACAUACAAUGUGUAAAUAUAUUUUCAUAAAUAGCUUUCCUGCACCUCAUUCAAAACAUAAAACACACAUUAAUUUCCUCUUAUUCCUUUCGCCAAGAACAUGAACCAUGCAUUCCCCACACAUAUACUAUUGUGAUGAAUGCAUCAUCAUCACCAUCCCCUAAGAAUUUUCUCGAUUCAUUUUCCGUUGCUCAGGCUGUUAACUCAAUACACUCAUUUCAAACGCAUUGGCCAACUUCUUACUGCCACGUGGUCCUUUCAUCUCAUGGUUGCCUUGAUUCAUUAUCUGCACAUAAUAGCUAGCUUGUGAUAGGAAUAAAGUUAACGGUUUUCUUGCAUACAAGGAAUUCAUACAAUCAUCAAAUAGAAAACUUUAACUUGAUACAAAAUUUAGAACUUCAUUUUAAACAAUCAUGCUUCUUCAUGAAUAUUAACGAGAUUAUACAUGCAUUACAUAACUUAAGACUUAGGAAGAAAACUUCAAAACUUCAUUCUUUGUCUUAGUAAAUCACUCAAGAAAAUACUUAGUUUCCUUCCUUCCUUUGAUUACCAAACUCAAAGUAUUUUUCUUCUUACCUAGUGAUUUCCUCAACAAGACAGUGCUUGAGUAAUUUUUCUUAGUAAAUCUCAGAGUAACAUUCUUUUCUUCACAACUUUCACUCUUAUUUAUACUCAUCCUUAAACGAAUUAGUCAUCCUUAAACGAAUUAGUCAUCCUUAAGCUUUCCUUAACUUGCCAGCUCCUACUUGGUGCUUUUUACAGGUGUGCGCUUAAUAUCCUUCCUAACAAUGCUUAGCUUAAACACCACACGUGGUUCACUAUCUAAUCAUGAUUAGGAAAAUUAAUUUUCCUAACUCCUUUGCUGGCUUCUUUCGUGAAGUAAUACCAAAACGCCUAACUUUCUAUCCAUGAGCUUCAAUGCAUGCUAGUCUCCUUCCGUCGCCUAUUCUUAACUCGAUUUGCCUUUCAAAACGUCUAUUCCUAAAAUACCUUUUUCUUCAAAAUCCCUUCUUUUCAAGACACAAUUAUUACACCUUUCCUUUUGCUUCCAAGUGUCAAUUAUUCGCUCAAUCAAACCAAUCUCUCAAUUUCAUCAUUGCCAUCUACCACAUGAAGGGUAAGGAUGAUAAAAUAAGAGAUUAGGAAGUGACAUGAAAUGGUAGGGAAGAAGGAGGAAGGUUAGAUACACUUUCGUGGUCAUCGUUUGAAGGGACUCAGAGAGUAUCCUCAUUUGUUCUCUUCUUUUCUUGUGUUAUUUUACUUCCCUAAUUUGGCCAGUCAAAAUUACCAUGUGAUUUCUUCCGUUUUCUUUUUCUAAUGAAAACUUUCUUUUCAUACUAGUUUCUUGUUCAAUGGAUGUUUCAUGACCAACUAAAUUGUUAACUAUCAAAACUAUACCUUAAUGCAUACUUUCCAAAUCCAAACAAUACUUCCAUCAUGCAAUAUAACUUAAUGUACAUGAAUAUUACACUUGUAUAGAUCAAUAUCGGUAUAUUAGGAGUAAUAUAACGGUUAUCCACAAUGUUUAUUUAGCACACCAAUAUAAAUGUGUAUAAUACUAGAAAAUAAGAGAAAAACAGAGAAAGUGUAUCAUUGUCGUUUGUAUAUAUAUUGGUAAUAUCGAUACUCGAUAGCAUUUGAUAGAAUGAUCAAUUUUAAAUACAAGAAAAAUAAUAUAAAACGAUAGAUAAGAUGUGAUAGAUAAAAUUUAUUGAUGAAAAAUAAUCGAUUUUGUAGUGAAACCAAUAAAGGAUUACAAAUAGUUGGUAAAGACCAACCCAACUUAUUUAGCUAUACUCCAUUUUUCAUAUUAUACCGUUUUAACUAAACAUAAGAAAAAGAAAAAGGGAAAGGGAAAGAGAAAGAAAAAUGCAAAUUUCCACUUAUAGGGCCGGACUGAGUCGCCGUUAGCUGUUCAUCGCUUGAAGUCUCCAUCCCAAUAGAAUCGCCACCCAAAUAUCUCUAUUUCUUCACUUCCUUUAUUCUCACUAAUCACCAUCCUUCAGAAUCUCCUCAAAAUUUCCUAUAAUGCUUUGUUCUCCCGUCACAAACCAGGAAAAGAAUUUGAUUCCAUUUCCAACCCACUUUGGGAGGAAUGUAGUUUUUUAAAUUUGUCUGUUGUAUCUCGUCUGUUUUGAGGUUGCUGCUAAUUCCUCAUGGAUGCUAAUGUACGAGCUCGUUUCACACUCGGCAAACAGUCCUCCCUCAACCCAGAACGUGAAGAUUCGCAUGUGGUUACGGACGAGCUUGAUGAUUCGAUCGCGAUUGAUCCUGGGAUUAAGCUUAUGUACUUGGCCAAUGAUGGUGACUUGGAUGGGAUUAAGGAGCUACUGGACUCCGCUGCGGAUGUAAAUUUUCACGACACUGAUGGCCGAACCUCUUUGCAUGUUGCUGCUUGUCAGGGCCGCCCGGAUGUCGUUGAAUUGCUACUUGAAAGGGGUGCGGAGGUUGAUGUUCAGGACCAAUGGGGUAGUACGGUGAGUUUUAGGAUCCAUGUCUAUUUUUUGAAUUUGGGAUGAUUAUCUUUUGAUAUUUGUUGAAGUUGUAUCGAUUUAUGGUUUAGUUUCUUUAGUUUUUUAUUAGUGAAGUUGUUUAUUGUUUUAAUUAGUACUAUUACUUCGGUCUCGUAAUCGAUCCAAUACCUCUGAUGGGUGCUAAUGAAGUUAUCAGCGUUUUAGUUUCUGAUUGGUUCUUUAAGGUUCAGCUAAAUAUGGAUAGAUGUUAGAUGCUUGAACCAAGGUAGGUGAGAAGGGAAAUAAGGUGUCUGAAAAUAGUCGGGUUGGUAUGGUGGACAUUUUAUAGUCGUUUGGUCUUGUGCCUACAAUGUUAAUUUUCGUUUACUUGCAAACGUUGUAGAAGGGUGAAGAUUUGAGCCAUGACAAGUUUUUCUAGUGAGAUUGUAACUUCUAAUUAUCCGUUUUCUGUUUAUAUACUCUGGGUUAAGAAAUGGGAAGGCUGGAAGAAUUUGAAGUUGUAGAAUCAGGAAAUUUAGAAUUUAUUUUCUGUUUAAUAGCCUCUUGCAGAUGCCAUAUAUUACAAGAAUCAUGAUGUGAUCAAUCUCUUAGAGAAGCAUGGUGCAAAGCUGCCGGUAAGAAACUGUACUCAGCACAGGGGAUGUGCAAUUGCUUUUAUUCUGAUGUGCUUCUGACCUUACUAUGUUCUCAUUGUACUUACACGUUGCUGGGAGUGUUUCCUCCUCUAUAUCCCAGAUGGCACCAAUGCUUGUGCAAAAUGCUCGUGAAGUUCCGGAAUAUGAAAUCAAUCCAAAUGAGCUUGAUUUUUCUAAUAGUGUGAACAUUACAAAAGUAAGUUUUUGCCUACUUGCAUUCACGCAAUGCUAUCAAAUUUCUUCAAUACAUUUUUUAUUUUAUGUUGGUUUUUUUUUCUUUAUUAAUAUGAUAACAAAUUCAAUAAUUUAGGUAAAAUUGAUGAAACAGUAAAUGAAUUACCUGUUCAAAAGUUCAGUUAAUAUUAAUACCACUUUAGGGAUUCUGAAUUUAAAAUAACAAAAGAAUUUUAAUCACUUUUUUAAUUCUGCAAAUGCAAAAUACGAUUAUCAAAAUUCUCUCUCCUGGUCUAAGCAUGGUGGAAAAGACUUGGCUUGCUAAGAUUAGAAAGCUUUCAUGUUUGGGUCUCAAUUAAAACUACAUCAAUCUUAUCUACCAUGAUCCCUCAUACUUGCAAUUUAAUUUUUGCUGGCACACUCCAUCCUCAAGUUACCUUACCCAAUCUAGCACUUGGCAUACCAACAAUAAAUCCUAACUAAAUUAUGGAGCCUAUUAUCAAACUUAGAAAAACUAAACACUUAUCAAAAUUAAUUAGUGGCUUACACAUUGAUGAAACCAAAAAUUGAAGGAUGUAGCCAAUUUAUUCUAAUAUUCUCUUAGUGUAGAACUUUGUUGCUAUGUACUUGGUAAAUUUGGGCGUGUGCGCAGGUGUAUAGCGUUAUCAAGAAAUCAACUAACUUUACUCUUGCUUGUCCUCUGAAUCCAUUUAAAUAUAAUUACACAGGGAACUUUCCGCAGUGCUUCAUGGCGUGGAAUUCAAGUUGCUGUGAAGACACUAGGCGAGGAACUUUUCACCGAUGAAGAUAAAGUGUGGGUUUAAUUUUAGGAGAUCAGUAUUUCUGUUUCUUAUGUUUAUUAUGCUUCCUUUGACUCAUCGUGUAUUGGAGGUGGACUUCAUAAUUCCCCACAAUUUUCCUUGGGUUCCCUGCAUAUCAGAUUAUUGGAACCCCAUCACAGAUUUGGAUAGCUCUACAGCUUUUCCUUCUAUUUGGGUUAGAUAUGUAAACUUUACCUCUUGAUAUCUAUUUUAUUGUAAAAUUCUCAUGUAAUAGGAAGGCAUUUAGGGACGAACUUGGUUUACUUCAGAAGAUACGCCAUCCUAAUGUUGUCCAAUUUCUGGGAGCUGUUACACAAAGUAGUCCAAUGAUGAUCGUCACAGAGUAUUUGCCCCAGGUCUGUCCUGUUGUCCAACUUUAUUAUAUGAAGGAAGUUUGAACACAUUCAUUCUUUGGGGAACUCGGCAAUAGUUAUUUACUUUCACUGUGUUCUUUUAAACUUUGUUAUGUGUAAUGCUCAAGUGGUCAAUCAAAAUGGUGAAAUGGAUAUAGCUGUUCAUGAAGUUGAAGAUUGCGUGUUUCAGUCUAUGAAUGCAUUAAUGUUACGAUCUAGAUGUAUUUGAUAGAACACCAAUAAGAUGUGUUCUUAUUCAAUUGAUAUAAACUCACUAUUACAGAGAAGAAUUGAUAUGAGAUGAAAAUACAGAAAUUAACUAAGAACAAGUUAAAUACUUCCCUUCUCUGCCUAUCCUCUCUCUCAAGGAAGAGUGCAGAAAAACUACUCACAAAACUGAUCUCCCCUUUCUUCUCUCCCCAACUUCCCAUUUAUAACCAUCUAACUGUCUACAUAACUAACUACCCUUAGCCCUAUACUAAUCUAGGUAUCUAACAGUAUUCUAUGUUCCCUGAUGAUUUUGUUUACCUCAUUAUAUUUUCUUUCAAAUUAUUUCUAAGAAAAUCUGCUGAGCAGUAUUUCUUUAUAAUUCCAUGUUGUAAGAUUAAAGUGGAGAACUGGGCUGGAUCUGUUAAAAUAUUUCAAUCUUGUAUGAACUGAUGUCAGCUAAUUAGUUGCUAGUUUCUAACCUUUAUUUGUAUGAGUUGAUGUCCUAUGAGAUUAGUCGAGGUGCGCAUAAGCUAACUUGGACACUCACGAAUAUUUAAAAAAAGAAAGAAAGAAAAAGAAACAAACCAACUUUGGGAAGUUAUUGUUUUUUGUUCUUUAUCUUGGUGUCAUAUAUUCAAGCUUUUGUAAUUACUCUCUCAAUAUCUUGUUUCAAUUUGAAACAAUUUUUGCAGUGCCUUGUACAUUUCAUAUAUCACCGAAUUGUUUUUUUCUAAUAAAAAUUAUUUCUUUUUCAGGGUGAUCUUCAUGCAUUCUUGAAACGUAAAGGUUUCUUGAAGCUAGCAACAGUCGUAAAGUUUGCUCUUGACAUUGCAAGGUCAAUUCAGUUUUACAUUCCCUAAAUUUGUCUGGAAAAUUGGAAAUUAAUUCAUUACUAAAGUAAGAAACAAUUGGGCUAAAAAUAUGAUAUGGGCUAGUUCUACUUCAUAGCACUAAAUAAUAAUGUAUGCCAAGAGCACAUAUUGAUCCCAGCAUUUAAGGUAAAAGAAGUUGUCUUUACAUAAUUCUGAAAUUGGAUUAUCUUAUUCUUGAUUGUCACUCAAGUUGGUUUAGUCAUGAAAAAUAACGUAUAGCAUUCUACUUAGGAUUUUGGAGGAGAUCACCUUUCCAUUAGAAACAGCCAAAUAAGUCACCACUGAUUUGAAUAUUGUUCUCAACCAAAAGAUAACUAAAAAUUGCCCCUGAUUAAUGAAAAGUCAAAAGAGAACAUGAGAUAGAAGAUGCCAUUAAGAUUUGCACCCAAGAGAAUCAUCUUCAUAACAGAAGAUGAGAACAUUAGAAAGACUGCAUUUUGACUCUAAGAUUUUGUUUCUAAACAGUUCUAGUUCUAUAUGUUUUAGAUUUCUUUUAACUCUCAUGUACAUUGAGCUUUUGUCUCUCCAUUUUUCAAUAUUAAUAAUAGUGAGACUUGUUUCCUUUUAAAAAAAAUAUAUUUUAGAUUUUUUCUACUCAAACCAUGUUAGAAAAGUUGAUAGACAGAUAUCUGCUUAAGGUUUCUACUAUUUAUUUUACUGAAUUGUGCCGUCCAUUAUGGCGCAUAUGGUCUUUUCAUUUUUUGGUUGUUUCCUCUAACAUGUUAUAAUCUGACUAUUCAUGUGGCCUUAUUCUUGAUUUGAGUUCAUUUCUUUAUGGGCUUUCCUCUUGUGGUCUUAGAUCUGGAUGCCUUUAUAAUCUUGUUAACAUCAUUAUAAUAUAUUUUACAGGGGGAUGAAUUAUUUGCAUGAGCAUAAACCUGAAGCAAUAAUCCAUCGUGAUCUUGAACCUUCGUAUGUUCUUAUCUCUUACCAUUUUAUCUUUAGAGAUAGUUGUAUGAAAAAAGAUCGUGAAAUGGUUAGAGUAGAUCAUGUCAAGUUCUGAUGUAUGGUUGAGUGUAGUUUCUUACACAAAAAAGAAGUGACGGAGUUCAAAUUGAAUUUACCAUUGUAAAUUGUUAUCCUUUUCCAAACAAAAGAAAAAAAAAACUAUUCAUAAAUAGUUUUUACAAGACAGUGAAGAAAAGCAUGUUAGAGGAGAAAGGGUAUGAGCAUGUCCUGAAAAAGGUUCUAUACGGUUGCAUGCAACUAUUUCUGAUGAUAUCUAAUGAUCAUGAGAGUUUUUAUGUACUGAUAUUUGUCUGAAUUAGUCUGGAACUAUUGCUUAAACUGAUGCAUUCAUAUACUACAAUCACUUUACAACCAUGUAGUGUUAAUCUAUCAAUCAAAAUAAAUAGUGGCGCAAUCUGAAUGACAACUUUGAACUCUUGAAGGUUGUUUAGACUGUUCAUCUAUAAUUAACUGUAAUUAUCUCAAAUCAUCAUGUUGUUUUUGUAACCCUUUGGUGUGUGUGGGGGGUUUUUAUCUCCCCUUCCUUUUGUAGCCCUUUCUGAUAAUGAGGUUUUAUUCUUAUAAAAGAAAAAAAAAAUUAUAAUUAACUGUAAUCAGUAGAUUGAAAUGCCUAAUAUUAUUUUCGUUGGGGUGUACCUAGAGUUAGGCUUCUGUUGGCUUUGGCACGAGUAGUAAGUUAUUACCUGCUAAAUAAUAAUAUGGCAUGAGUAUAAGUUAUCAAUUGCUGAACAAUUUGAACUUUGAAGGUUGCUUAUUUGUUUAUGAGUAAGACAACAGAAACAUACUGCGGGAUGAUUCUGGGCACCUGAAAGUUGCAGACUUUGGAGUUAGCAAACUUCUAAAAUUUUCAAAUAGAGUUAAAGAAGACAGACCUGUGGCUGUGACAUGUCUUGAAACUUCAUGUAUGUUUACAUUUUGGCUAAAAUUAGUUUUUUUUCCUCUCCUCUCGCAAGAGGCAUUAUGUUGAAUCUUAUAACAUAUGUAUUGUGCUGAGCUUGGCCUUGAUUUAAAUAUCGAUAUCUAGAUUUCAAAUUUAUAGAUAUAUCGAUAAUAUAUUGAUAUUAACAGUUUUUUUAUAAAAGAAACUAUGAAGAAGAAAUUGAAUUAAGAAGCAAGUUGUUUUUAGUUCCAAACUAAGCUAUCCGUGUUAUCAUUAGUAUUUAUAUUGAUAAUGGGACUAAUGGAUACUCUUUGGAAAAAACUAGUCGGAUGGAGUCGAUAAUUUACUUAAAAAAAAAAUAAGUAAAAAAAAUCCCUCCCCAAACCGUGCUUGCAUUUUUCAUUGCACAUUGUACAUGACAAAACUACCGAAAAUAUUUACAAAAUAUAAUAAACUUCAAAUUCUAUCAUUGAUAGGGUUUAUUUUAUUAUAUUUAAAAAUGCCCCCAUACUUUCUAUAGGCAUUUCUAAAAGAUAACAAAAACAAUGUUGAACCUCUAAUUUACCAUAUGGACGAAUAUUUUACCCCUUUCUUGUAGGAAAACUACUUUAGAAAGUUCAUGCUUGAUAGUUAUGUUUGGUCCAGGUCUUCGUUUGAUCGAUCCUUUUGCUUUACUAAAAAGAUAUUGAAUGAAGAUCCCUUUUGCAGUUGGGUAUUUGGACAACAAUAUAUUUUUAUAUAUGUAUGCGUGUGUGUAUUUUCUGUACCCAUUUAUUGAAGUUGCUGGUUUCUCUUGUACAGGGCGAUAUGCUGCGCCUGAGGUUUAUAAAAAUGAAGAAUAUGAUACAAAAGUGGAUGUAUUUUCAUUUUCUUUGAUCUUGCAAGAGGUGAAAUUUCUCAAAUGAUUGUUCUCCUAUGCAUGCCAUUGCCAGUGUCCAACUUGUCGUCUGGUUCAUGUUCUUUUUGGUUUCAUAUGUGCACAUAUUGACAAUGUAUGUACAAUUAUAUUAUAUUGAGAAAAGAGACGUAGAGCACACAAUUUUUACGUGGAAACCCAGGGAGAAAAACCACGAUGCACAUCUCUUUUUUUAUUAUUUUCUCAUAAUACUGAAUGAUGCAAGGUGCAAAUAAAUAGACUACAGUGAGGAAUAAAAAAAGGAAAAAAUAUUAGGUCAAAUCUUUCCUUGGGCCAAAUCCACUAAAUCUAACACUCCCCCUGAAGUUGGAACGUAGAUAUCAAUAAGACCCAACUUGCUAACCCAAAAGUCAAAGUUCUGUAUGAGAAGUCCCUUGGUAAGGACAUCAACAACCUGUUGGCUCGAAGGAAUGUACGAAAUGCAUAUGCUACAAUUGUCCUGCCUUUUUUUGAUGAAGUGUCGAUCAACCUCAACAUGUUUAAUUCUAUUAUGUUGACCUGGAUUGUUGGCAAUGCUAAUGGCUGCCUUGUUAUCACAAAAUAAUUUCAUUGGUAUCUCAAAAUUCUGAUGAAGAUCAGACAAAACUUUCUAGAGUCAAAUUUCGUCACAUAUCCCCAAACUCAUAACCAUGUACUCGACCUCAACCCUGCUUCUAGCCACGACCCCUGCUUCUUACUCCAUCAAGUUACUAGAUUGCCUCAUACAAAGGUACAAUAACCCGAGGUAGAUUUCCUGUCAACAACAGACCCUUUCCAGUCUGAAUCAAUACAAGCUUCAAUAGUUUUCUUGUCUGUCUUUCUAAACAUCAAUUCUUUACUAGGAGUCGUUUUUAAGUAGCUCAUGAUUCUGUUUACAGCCUCCAUGCGUUCCUCAUAGGGAGCCUACAUGAAUUGGCUCACAACACUCAUAGUAAAAGAAAUAUCUAGUUGAAUUAUGGGACAAGUAAAUCAACUUACCCAUAAGGAGCUGAUAUUGUUCUUCAUCAACUGGAACUUUAUCAUCUGAAUUUCCUAGUUUACAGUUGAAUUUAAUGGGAGUAUUAGCAGGACGACGCCCCAGCAUACUUGUCUCGGUUAGCAAAUCAAGGGUAUAUACUUCCUCUGAGAUACGGAGAUACCUUUUUUAGAUUUGAUUACCUCCAUUCUAAGGAAACGUUUCAGAUUUUCCAAAUCUUUGCUUUCAAACUCAUUACCCAUCCUCUUUUUCAGUUGGAUGAUUUUAGAAUGGUCGUCCUCAGAUAGAAUGAUGUCAUGAACAUUAACAAUUCAAUACUGCAACCUUCCCAGCUUUGGAGACCUUUGUAAACAAAGUAUGGUCAGAGUGCCCCUGACUGUACCUUAGGGACUUGACAAAGGUAGUAAACCUAUCAAACCACGCUCUAGGUGGCUGUUUUAGAUCAUAUAAAGGUUUUUGAAAUUUAUACAUCUAAUGACCGGAUUGAGCUUCAAACCCUGAAGGGGGGCUCAUGUAGACUUCCUCCUCUAGGUCCUCAUCUAGAAACGCAUUCUUAACAUCCAGCUGAUAAAGAGGCCAGUCUUUGUUCACAGCAACAGAUAGCAGAACUCUAACUGUAUUCCAUUUAGCAACUGGGGAAAAAGUUUCUAAAUAAUCAACACCAUAGGUUUAAGUAAACCAUUUUGCAACUAAUCUCGCUUUGUGUCUGUCAAGGGUUCCAUCUGCCUUGUAUUUGAGAGUAAACACCCAUUUUCAUUCCAUAGUUUUAUGUCCCGUAGGUAGAGCACAGAUCUCCCAAGUCUUGUUCUUCUCAAGAGCCCUCAUCUCUUCCAUGACAUCAUUUUUCCACUCAGGACAUUCUAGUGCUAUGUGGAUAUUUGUUGGUAUCAGGUAGAGUUAAGGCUGGCUGUAAAGGUUUUGGACUGAGGAGAUAGGUUCUCAUAAGAAACGUUAGUUGGCAACAUAGUAAUUAAUGCAAGACCUGUACCCUUCUUUAAUGCAAUAGGAAGAUCAAGAGAUGAAACAUACUCACUGAUAGUUUCUGAAUGAUCCUCCCUAAUUUCAUUUUCUUUAACUUCUACACUGACCUCAUUCUCAUCAUUACUGCAUUUUCCAUCCAAGUGACCUCAAUAUCAACAUUACCUUGUUCACCUAUAUUUUCAGGAAUAACUGUCUCGGACCUAUCACUUUCACUCAUUUUACUGUCAAUGUGUGAGUCAAUAGAAUUAGUCAUACCUUGAUCCGUAAAGGUUCAGAAUCUUGGACCAGAGCUGACUGAUUAGUAGGAGACCUAACUCCCUUUCUAAGAUUCCUCUUAUAGUAGGUUUUCUAAGGAACUUGGUUCGUAGGUAGGAUCAUGUUGUGAGGAUUUAGGCUAGGUAUGGUAAUGAGAGUAGAAUUGAUGGACCUUAAGGAUAUCACAGGGUUAGACUCUUCGCUCUCAUUCUCCCCCUGAAGUAGGCUAACAAGAAAGAAAUGACGAUCCUCAAGAAAGGCAACAUCCAUGGAAUCAAAGUACUUACAAGAAGAAGAAUGAAAGCAUUUAUAACCUCAUUGGUGUAGGGUAACCAACAAAAACAUAGGCCUGAGCUUGAUGGGUAAACUUAGAUGGAUUAGGGCCAUGGUUAUGAACAUAAGCUGUGCACCCGAACACUUGAACAGGAACAUUAGAUGUAGGACACAAGAAUGCAUUUGGUUGAUAAGAUGGGCUGCAGUGAGAACAUCGCCCUAGAGAUAGGAAGGAAGGGAUGUAGACAACAUAAGAGAACGAGCGACUUCCAAAAGGUGACGGUUUUUUCGCUCGGUUACUCGAUUUUGUUGGGGAGGGGGGGUAUAGGCACAGAAACUUUGGUGGACAAUGCCUUUGGAAGACAAAAACUCAUCGAGGAUGUGGUUUUAGAACUCACGAGCAUAUCCACUUUGUAAAAUAGCAAUUUUUGUAUUGAACUGCGUUUCUACGGUGUUAUAGAAGUCCCUAAAGAAAGGGUUGACCUCAGAUUUGUCGGAGACAAGAAAGACCCUGGUAAGAUGUGUAUGGUCAUCAAUAAAGGUUACGAAUAUGAACCACCAUUUCUCAGAUGAGGUAGUUAUCUUGGAUGGUCCCCAGACAUCACUACGAACAAGUGUGAAAGGGUGAGUUGGUUUAUAUGGUUGUGAAGGAAAGGAAACCUGAUGUUGUUUAAGCCCGAAUACAUGUGUCACAAGAUAAGGAAGACACAUCAAGUUUAGAGAAAAGAUGAGAAAAUAAAUGUUUUAUAUAUUGAAAAUUAGGGUGGCCUACAUGAAAAUGCCAAAGCAUACAAUCAUGUUCAUAAGUAACAAAACAGGAAGAUAAAAGACUAGUCCUAUAAAUGCUACUAGAAGAGGUGUUGUCAUCAAGGAGGUAGAGUCCCCUACUAUGCCGAACAGUGUUAAUCAUCUUCCCCGAGCUAAAGUCCUGAAAAGAGACAAAAUCAGCUAAGAAUAUUGCUUUGCAAUUUAACUCAUGAGUAAUCUUUCUUAUAAAGAGCAGAUUAUAAGAAAUUUUGGACACUUGCAAAACGUUAUGUAAGAAGAGCCCUGCAUAGAGAGAAAUCUUCCCCUUCCUAACAAUGGGGGCCAAGGAGCCAUCUACAAUUCUAAUUUUUCGUUGCUAGCACAUGGAAUAUAUAGGACAAAAGUUCAGAGGAACCAGUCAAAUAAUUUGUGGCGCCAUAAUCCAGAAUCCAGAGGUUCUUCCCAUCAACACUAAUAAGAUCGAAGGAUGGAGGUAUACCUGAUUGGGCAAUGACACCUAAAGUAGCGGGACUAGGAUCGGUUUGGUUGCCAUGUGGAUUAGGUGGUUGAGAAAGUCUAGUAGAUUCAUUCACAUACAUUCGCUCUUUGUUUUGUUUGUCGUUGGGAGAGCGUUUCUUAACUCUUGGGGGAUGACUAUGUAAAUUCCAACAUUGUUCCUUGGUAUGCUAUUGUUUUUGACAAUGCUCACAGGCAAGAACUAGUUUUUCAUUGUGCUUGUCACUACCACGGGUAGAGGAGCUUGCACUUAAAACAGUGGAGUUAAUAGUAGGAGUUGCUGAAAUACUCGUAGCAUUUGUGCGAUACUCCUCAAGGCAGAUUUUAGAACAGACUUCCAUCAGGGAGGGAAUCGGUCUCUUGCCUAGUAUAUGUCCUUAAACUACAUCAAACUUAGGAUUAAGACGAGCAAGAAAAACAUAAUCUUGUCAAUCUCUUCAAUUCAAGUAUUGCAAACCAUCACUGAGAUUGCUAUCGAUUAUUUCUAUGCAUAGGUCCAUUUCCUAUCAGAUAAGAGAAAGCUUAUUAAAAAAGGAUGUGACAUCCAAGGUUCCUUGCUUGCAUUCAUGAACCUGCUUCCUUAGAGUGUAUAGGCGAGAGGCAUUUUGACGUUUGGAAUAUAGUGUAUGGUUGUCCCAAAUAUCUUUAGCAGUUGCAACAUACACUAGAGGUUUGCCGAUUUGUGGCUCCAUACUAUUGAUCAAUGUUGAUUGAAGAAGAGAGUCCUCUCCCUUCCAGUACCGUUCUUGUGGGUCUCCCAGUAAACAACAAGGUAUUUCUCCUAUCAGAAAACCGAACUUUUGUCGUUCUUCAAGGACCAUUUCACUGAUUGAGACUAUGAGAAAUAGUUAUUGCCGUUCAAUUUUUUUCUUGAAAAAUAUUCUGUAGACUAUGCAACUAUAUUAGAUACCUAAGAAACAAGAUAAAUUGGGGAAGGAGAUUACCGGAUUCUCAGAAUACAUAGGUACAGGUGUAUGAAGGCCAUGACUAGGAGUGUUAGAUGUCGUCCCUAAGGUAGCCUCAAUUGUUGCAAUCUGUUGUUGAAGCCCUUCUAAUUGUUGGUAAGCUAUACUCGAAGAAGAAGUAAAAGCUUGCAUGUUAGGGUUGGAAUGUGCCGAAGGCUCACUAACCUCAAAUGUUGAGUGAAUUUGAGGAUUCCUAACAUUGGGAUGAUAGCCAAGGUCAUGGGUGGCAAUGCAUACAUAUUUGACGGCAGAAGCAGUGGUGGUUGGCUGGAAUUAGGUGGCAGCAUAUGGAUCGACACUUGGGGAACACUACAUCCCGCGGAUGAAGACAAGGGUGACACAGGUAGGUCAGUCGACGAUGUGUGAACAGGAUGGACUGGUGUGUGUAGCUUUGGCGGCAGCUGCUGGCAGCGUGGACGACGGAAAAGGUUGCGGAAUUAAGUUUCUUGGCGUUGUGUGAAGGUAGUGGAACCAUUCAUCUAUGGCAGCGCUAAUCCAAGCAUCGACCGCGGCAGCGACGGCAACGCUAAUACCGGCGGUUGUCUCCUCAGUUUAGUUUCCAUCAUGAGUUGUGUUAUCUAGGAUAUGAUCACUACCACGCUUUGAUGCCAUAUUUAAAAAGAGACAGAGCAAAUACAAUUUUUAUGUGGACAUCCUAGUUUAGGCAAAAAAACCACAGUGCAAAUCUCUCUUUUUAUUAUUUUCUCAUAAUAACAAAUGAUAAGGAGAAAUAAAUAAACUAUAGUGGGGAAUAGAAAAAGGAAAAAAAUAUUAGGUCAAAUCUUUCAUUGGGCCAAGCCCACUAAAUGUAACAUUAUUUUUGCUAAGUAUACUUUUCAUAUUAGUUGGCAAAUAUAUGGGUGAUUCCAAUGCUCACUGAGGAAAAUAAUUGCUAUUUCUGCAAGGCUAUGGAUUUCAAUAUAAAUUUCCUUUGCAUAUCCGGCUACCUCCAUUCUUUGGAAAUAUUUUAGAUCUUUCAAGUCUUUGAUUUCAAACUCAUCACUCAUCCUCUUUUUCAGUUGGAUGAUUUCAUCAUAGUCGUCCCCAGAUAGAACAAUGUCAUCAACAUAAACAAUCAAUACUGCAACCUUCCCAGCCUCAGAGAUCUUUGUAAACAAAAUAUGGUCAGAUUGCCUCUGAUUGUACCGUAGGGACUUGACAAAGGUAGUAAACCUAUCAAACCAUGCUUUAGGUGGCUGUUUCAGACCAUAUAAAUAUUUUUGAAGUUUACACACCUGAUGAUCGAACUGAGCUUCAAACUCUAGAGAGAGGCUCAUGUAGACUUCCUCCUCUAGGUCCUUAUUUAGGAACGCAUUCUUAACAUCCAACUGAUAAAGAGGCCCGUCUUUGUUUAUGGCAAUAGGUAGCAGGACUCUAACUAUAAGUUUAGCAAUUGGAGAAAAAGUUUCUGAAUAAUCAACACUAUAGGUUUUAGUAAAACCCUUUUGCAACUAACCUCGCCUUGUGUUUGUCAAGGACAAGGGUUCCAUCUGCCUUGUAUUUGAGAGUGAACACCCAUUUGCAUCCCACAGUUUUAUGUCCCUUAGGUAGAGCUAAUGCAAUGUGGAUAUUUUUUGGUAUCACAGUAAAGUCAAGGCUGGAUAUGAAGGCUCUAAACUUAGGAGAUAGGUUCUCAUAAGAAACGUUAGUUAGCAAUAGAGUUCUUAGUGCAGGACCUGGUAUCCUUCCUUAAUAUAAUAGGCAGAUCAAGAGAUGGAUCAUUCUUACUCAUAUUUUCUGAACGAUCCUCUCUAAUUUCAUUUUCAGUAACUCUUGCACUAACCUCGUUCUCAUCAUUAACCUGGUCCAACAUGACAGAACUAAUCAUAGGGAGAUUGAUAGACACUUACCAAAGAGAGAUUGGAUAAUGGUAGCAUUUGCAUUCUGAUAGACCACCAAUAUUAUAUCAGUACAGUAGGAGAGGAAAUAAGAAAUAACACGUGAGGGUGAGGCACGUGUGAGUGAAGGGAAGGGUAGCAAUAUAAAUAAGUUUGUAAAGGGCGGAAGAGUCAGUUAGUUUUUUUUGAGUUUCAGAAUCUUUUCUGUUAUUCCUUGAGAGAGAGGAAAACAGAGGAUUGUGUUUCUGUUAUUUCUAUCAAUAAUAUCGAAUUACUAUUUCUACCUACGGAUUCCAUCACAUUCCUUACCUACCCUCAAGCCAACAGAUUGCUGAUAUUCUCACAAAGGGGCUCCUUAGACAAAGCUUUGAUUCUUGUGUUAGCAAGUUGGGUCUUUUCAACAUUUAUGUCUUAACUUAAGGUAGAGUGUUAGAAAUAGUGGGCUUGGUUCAUGUUGAAAUCCCUAGGGUAGAUAUGUAAUUUACUUUACCCUAAUUUUUUGUUCUUUUAAUUAGGCUUGUGUUGCUGUUAGACCCCAAUAUUACAUACAUAUAAAAGAAGGAGCAGAAAAGGGAUUUGACAGCGCUGAUGGUAAUUCAAGGAGCAGAUAAAUAGAAAACAACACUAAGGGCCCACUGUGGGUAUUGGAUAUUUAUGGAGAAUGUUUUGGGGAUGGCUGUUUUUAGGUUUUAUAUUGUCUUUUUGGUGAAAGCUUUCAUAGCCUUCAUAGGAGAAGUUUCCAGCCUUCUCAAAGGUGCUGGAUAAUAUUGUGGCUACUGUUCUCUGAACUAUUUGGUAUAGGUUUGUGUUACAUUUUGAUUUCUAUUAUCAAUAUAGUAUAUCAGAGUGCUAAUUCUAUUUUGUUUUGUUGGGAAUUUUCUGCUUUUCACAUUAAGAAUCCUAACAAUUGCCUAUAAAAACCUCUUCUAUAAUUAUCUUCGUAGGAAAAUAAUAAGAAAACAUCUUCACCGUGGUUUUUCUCCCUAUAAUAGGUUUCCAGGUAAAUUUGUGUUUCUUCAUCUCUAUUUUCAAUACUCAUAGCUAAAAGUAGAGAGUCCAGUCUUCUCCUUUAAAACCAAGCUCGAGAGUAGACUACUCAAGCCAAAUCUGUUGGGCUAUUUAUUUGGAGGCAUUCCUGAUGAACCCCGAUUUGUUGCGCACCCAUUUGGAGGCAUUCCCGAUGAACCCUGAUUUGUUGCAUCCACCCACUAGUAGGAGGAAAAAUUCCAUAGUCUACCUGCGUUCAAACCAUACACGACGUCUUUAUCUUCAAAAUCUUCCUCAAGACUGCUGCCUAGGAACUUGAACAGGAACUAGCUCCAGUAUUGUUUGAGGAAGGGAAGAUAAACCAAUUUUUCUUAAGGUGUGGUUGAUUAGAAAAAGCUCAGUUUAUUUCUGUAACGUAUUAGAAAAAGCUCAAUUUAUUUCUGUAACAAUCAACCCUACUUUAGGGGGCAUAUAUGAGGCCUAAUUCAUUUGUGGCCAUCUUUUUUAAAUUAUCCUUAUGACCCUCAUUAGACACUCGAUGAACGGAAGGAAAAACUCUACUGGCCCAUUCCAGAAAAGGUACCAUUAACAUUGGAGAAUUACAGAACUUACAAGACCCAAAUCAACAGGCGUUUGAGAUCCUUGAGAUCUCGUUACCCUCAGAAUUAAAUCUUAUUUCUUCUUGAUACUCACUGUUUGUCAAGACAUCUACAAAUCACCUCAAUGGCUUGACAGAGAACCUGCCAAUCUGGAAACUCAACUAUCAUAAAACCUCCAAAGGGAAGUGCCAUGUUUGGACGAAGUAAUUGUCAUAGAAGACAUUUCUCACUGCACAACAUGGCAAGGCCACAUGAAACCAACACUUAAUAUUGACUUAUUAACAACCUCUGAUCUGAUAUCUGUUUCUGAACUUGAUGUUUCUUUGAUUGUCCCUUUUCCUAAUCCGUAUCCCCCCUCAAUCAUUGCCCAUGUCAGUCAAAAUGUUUUAUUGGGAUAAUUUUUAUCCAUGAACUUGAGGUUCUCACGAGUUUUCUUUAUUCUAAUCAACUUAGUUUCUCAAGUGUAUAUAUGGGUAAUGUGUUGAAUAUUCAUAAAAUUUUUGGAUUUUGCACUUAUAAUUUGUAAUAUUGGUCCAGAUGUGCUCAUGCUAAUAACAUUGUAUUGUUUUAUCAUUUAUGGGAUCAUUGUAGAUGAUCGAAGGCAAUCCACCUUUUCCAACAAUGCCAGAAAAUGAAGUACCCAAAGCUUAUAUAGCCAACGAGCGCCCACUAUUUAUGGCUCCACCAAAUCGUUAUGCAUUUGGAAUACAAGAGUAAAGUCCUCUUUUUUUUCUUCUUUUUUUUUUUUUUUCAUUUUGAUGCUAUAUGCUUGACUACUAGAUGUCAGUAGAAAUAUUUUCUUUUGUUUGCAAGUCACUUCCUCGUUAGAAUAUUUUUAUGGUCGGGGCUUUUGGCGUAGCAGGCUAAACUUCUUUUAAUAAUUGUCAAGCCAGUUAAUCUUAAUAUCUGCACUUCCUUGUCUACAGGCUAAUUCAGGAAUGUUGGGAUGAGAAGCCGCAAAAAAGACCCACAUUUCGGCAAAUAAUAAGAAGGUUAGAGGAUAUUAACACUCGACUCAUGCAAACAAGAAGCUUGAAGGUAAACAAGGGCUCUCUCUCUCAAUCAACGUUAUUAACAGCCAUUUUGCUUCUCAUCGUAGCCAAAAUUUGAAAAGUAACCACUGUGAAUGUCAUUUAAAUUGUUUACAGGUGAAUCCAUUUUGCAGUUGUUUUCAGAAUCUGAAAGCCUUAUUUACAAGCGAAAGAACUAAUCCAGGCAGCAGAUCUUCUUACUCGGAAAGCAAAUGAGUUAGUAUUCUUAGAGAUUCUCAGCCUUUUUCUCCCCUCUCAUCCACACACGUUAUGUUGUAUUUAACUAAAACAUAAUGUUUGAGGUAUUUUUGUGCAUAUCUUUCGCUUAUUUUGCCUUUGAUAUUUUUCUCAAACAAUUUUGGCUUGUCCUAUUUUUCUUGGUUGGAUGAGAGAGUUGUAAGCUAAGCUAUGCCUUGACUGGUAUCGUUCCCAUUUGUUUCAAUUGGACCAUUCUUGUAGGUUGAAUAUUGCCAUUACUUUUUUCAGUUGAACCUCUUUUUCUUUUUUCCACAGCAUCCACAAAGGAGACAUAUCCUAAAGCUUUGAUCAUGAAAGCAUUGUGCAAGAGAUUGGCAUGGUUUAGUUAAGUAUUAGCAAUGAUGUAAAACCAAAACCAGGUAGUCUGUUCUUGAAACAGUUCAAGUGCUUGGAUUCCUAUCUUGAUAAAGUUGUUAAAACAAGCAUCAUUAAUUUUAUAGAUCUACUUCCAGUUCCCCUUGUGGUUUUAUUUGGGGCACAUUACAUGUGAAUUAUUUGCUAAAUUUCGUGAACUAAACCAGGCUAUUGAGAUUCUUUUAAAAGUUUCCUAACUUGGUUUUGUUUUUCAAAACACUGUCCAAAAAAGGAAAAAAAAAGUCAAUUAAAUUUUAAAAGUAAAAAAUUAACUCUUUGAAGCCUUAAAAUUUUUGUUUUUGAUUUUUGGUGUAUGACUUCGAAGUUUUGUAAGAGAACAAGUACAACUUCCAAGUACGAAAUCUCAAGGGUUUUAAAGGCCGGAAUAUAAUUGAUUGUAAUUCAAACCUAUGUUUGGAUUGAGAAUUUUGUGUCAAUUUUGUAAUUCCUAUUACAUUCUCUUUCCAACUUUCUACCUAACCCUCUUUUCUAAGAUUGGUUUAAACAUUUUAUCUAAUCAUUAUAUUCUAGCCUUUCAAAGCCUUUCAAACAAUCUUGAACUGUUGACAAUAGAGAAGUUGUGUGGCUACCAUCGUUUCCAUUAAACUAUUUGAAGCUUCUCAACUUUGUUAGAGCUUAUGAGCUUGUCAUUGGCACAGAGAUGAUCAAUUAGGGGCCUACUUCAUAAUUGAGAUGAAAGAAACUAAACCAUGAAUUGUAGAAAAGAAAGAAAGUGUUAAAAAACGAGGGCUAUUUUGAAAUAUGGUAAAAUGAAUCGAAUAUAUUUAUCAAAUAUAGCAAAAUAUCAUAAUUUAACGAAAAAUUGUGAUAGCUUUCUAUUUGUAUCUACUUGUAUUAAAUAAACAUAAAUAAUAAUUUAUUUUGGUUUAUCAUAAUUUUUCACAUAUAGUUUGUUUUAUCAUAAUUUUUCACAUAUAGUUUGUGAUGUCUUUGCUAUAGUGUAAAUAGUUUGAGAAUUUUUGUCAUUUAAAAAUCAAUAAAUUAUUUAUUUUUCAAAAAAUAAUUAUACAUAUUCUAGCCUUAAACUAUCUCAACUUGAGUGGAAUUAAAAUGAUUUUUUUUAGAAAAUAAAGUAUAUACCUAAAUAUACAAAAAAAGAAAAAAAAAAAAACCAACUACUAGAUUUGAAUCUGUCGUGAAAAUGACUCAACAACCUAAAAUAAAAAAAUCGAGAAAAUAUAAUAUAAAACAAUAAACUAUAAUAUAUAAAUAAAUGAAUAAUAAAAUUAGAAAAUUAAGAAAAUUAUAAAAACUCAAAAUCAUUGAACUUCUCCACUUUCUUCCGAUUUCACUUCAAUAAUAGUAAUAGUGUUCAUUCUUACAAAUCCAUCAAAUGUCACUAUUUAUAGGCAAUUUGACAAGUAUGAGAUGAAUUAUAUAAUCAUAAAACUAAGUAUUUGAUAGAUAAGUGAAAUGUUGGUUGGUUAAAGGGUUGAUAUGUGGCUAUGACCACUAAGCACACUAAUGAAUAUUUAUCAUUAAUAGUAUAAUAGAAUUCAAUUCGAGUCUAACACCAAUAAUAAUAAAACAAACAAAUAAAAUGUACAGUCCCUUAAACUUUUUUAAAUAAUGUUUAUUUGGGCUUAUGGAUUUACCUAAACUAAUUAUUUUAGUAAAUAAUGUAUUAUAAUUAAUAGGAAAAUAAACAUAGAUUUUAGAGCUGUGUUUAUUUCUAAAACUAGGUGGAAAGUUGGUUGAAUGGAAAGAUUGAAGGAAAAGGUGAAUUUUGAUUGUUGUUUUAGUGUGGGAAGUAAAAGAGCAGUGGGGUGCUUAUGUUAUUAUGGAACCUUUGUGAUAAAGUGGAUAUAAAAUCUUUGUUGAUGCAGAUGCUACUAUUCUCAGCAAAGAUAUUUGGCAUUUCAAGAUUUGCAAGCUUUUAUGGUGCUAACCUUUAUCGGGAUAAAAGGUAAAAGUUGCAUGGAACCUGCUUACUUGGCUUCAUGGUUUGUUGCGAACGGAUAAUAGACUUUGCCAAGUUUGGAAUCACCAACACCAUCGUUUGAAGACCUUCCCUUUCUCUGAAUGAAACAAGUUGUUGGCUUGUGGUUAUCAAUAUUUGAUUGAAAAAAAAUGAGAGUUUUUUUCUUUUUUCUUUUGAGAUCACGUACAACACUCAAUUCGUCUUCGUUUCGUCUCAGUUACCAAUUUUCCUUUUCUUCAUCGAGAAAGAAAAAGAACUUUAGGAUAAGUGAGAUGCUUUACAUGUAAGAAAGUUAUUGAUUUAAUUUUAAUUAAAUUAAAAAAUGUUAACUUUCAUAAAUAUAACAAAACAACAAAAUAUUUACCGUUCCUAUAACAAAAUAAAUAGAUUUCAGGUUUGCCAUUCCUUUCCAUCUAUUCCCUCUUGUACAAUUUUUUUUUUAAAUCAUUGUCGCGACGUGAUCGCUACGCGGAGCGGCCGACCUUCCCGUUUAUUUAAUUUUAAUAAAUAGUUUUGGAGUCGCCACCAACCAUAUUAGGGUGUGAUUGGUCACCCAAAAAAAGAAAAAAAAAAUGGUCUGCGUACAUUCAGAGAUUUAAGUUCGGGAGUUAGUUGUGUGUAGGGAAGGUGUUAGCACCCUACAACACCCAAAAAAUGGUUAUCCAAAUUUAUCUUUUAAAAUCAAAUUAUAGAGGUUCACAAAAUAAAAUUUUUAUUUAGGUUUUGUUUAAAUGUCCCAUGUUUAUCAAUUCAUAUCGAAGAAAGUAAAACCUAAGCAUGAAUUGAUAAUUAUGAGUGGCAUAGGAGCCAUUAGAAAAAUUAAGUUUAUUUUUGUUUUAAAAGAUCUUUAUUCACCUUAAGAAUAUUAAGAUACCAAAACUUGAUAUUUUAAUCUCUAUCAUAGGUGUUUGAUGAGAAAUUUCAUGUAUCUAGAAUGAAAACACUACUCAGUCUCAUUUAAAAUAUGAAAUGUGUUUAUUUAAAAACAAUCUAUUAAUUAAAUUUCAAACGGAAAAAUUUCAUGUAUUCAUGGAUUUUAAAUUAUAAAAUCCAUAAAAAACAAUACUUUUUCUCCAAUUUACAUUUUUAUAUUUAAAUUGAAAAAUGAAUAAUAACAAUAACAAAACAUUAUGAAAUUUGAAAAAUAUUUAAAGGGUAAUAUGUUGAGAUAAAAUAAAUGCAUCAUGAUAAUGUAAGCAAUACGCAAAAUGUACAAGAUAAUUAAUUAAUACAGUACAUGCAAGAUAAUUAAUUAAUGCAGAAUGAUGCAAAAUAAUUAAUUAAUUCAAAACAUGUAAAAUAAUUAAUUAAUUUAAAAGGAUGCAAAAUAAUUAAUUAAUUCAAAACGAUGCAACAUGAUUAAUUAAUACAGAAAGGUGAAAAAUAAUUAAUUAAUGCAGAAAUAGGCAAAUUAAUUAAUUAAUUCAGAAAUAUGCAAAAUAAUUAAUUAAUUCAUAAAUAUGCAAAAUAAUUAAUUAUGCUAGAACAGAGUAAUAAAUAAUUACUCGAGGAUGUCAAAUGGGUGAAAUAAUAAUUAACUGCAGAGUGUCAAAGUAGGUUUAAUGCAAGAUGCCAAUAAAUAAUCACGGUAGCCAAUGGAUGUCAAAUAGUUUUAGUGAUUAAUUAAUUAAUACAGAAUACAAAUAAUUUGAAUGAGUAAUUGACAUAAGAGACCAAAUGAGUGCCAAAAUAAUUAACGAUAUGCAAAUAAUUAGCUCACAAUGGAGGAUGUCAAAAAUUAAAACUGUCAAAUACAUCGUGCUAAUUAAUUAACCAUGCAUAAUUAAAAGAGUAUGUCAAAUGAAUAGUUAUUUUCAAAUGCAUAAUUAACAUAUAUGCCAAAUGGAUAAUUAUUAAAGCAAGAUACCAAAUAGAUACACACAUUUAACACAUAAUGUAAAAUGUGUGCUUAGAUAAUUAGAAAGAUAGCAAAUAAUUAAAUCAGUAUGCCAAAUGGGUGUCAAAUAAGUGUUAAAUAAUUAAGACAUCAAUCAAAUAAUUAACACAUCAUUUAAUUAAUUAACCAAAUGAAAUAAUUAACAUAGCACCCAAAUGGAUGCCAAAUAAUUAAUCAAGAACACACUUAUUAAUUAAGGCAGUAGCCAAAUAGAUGUAAAACAACUAAUUAAUCAGCUCAGCAAUCAAAUAGUCAAAAUGUGUGUCAAAUUAAUUACCAUGCAGAACUCAGCAAUCAAAAUACUCCAAUGGCCAAAUGGAUGUCAAAUAAUUAACGAGGAUGCAGAAAAUUAACACAGACCAAAUAAUUAACAUAGCAUUGACAGUAUGCUAAUUAAUUAACCAAAUAAUUAAUGCCAAAUCAGAUAAUUAACUCACAACAUUCAAAUGGGUGCCAAAUAAUUAAACGGAUGCAGAACUCAUCCAUCAAAAUAGUCAAAUGGCCAAAUAGAUGUGCAUAAAUAAGUGUAAUCAGAUGCAAAACAAUAAUUAAUUAGGGCAGCAAUCAAAGAGUCAAAUGGGUGCCAAAUAAUUCAAAUGAUGCAAAUAAUUAAAAGAUGUGAAAUGAGUGCCCAAUGAUUAACACACCAGCUAAUUAAUGAGUGAUUUAAAUGAAUAAUUAAGACAGCACCCAGAUGGGUGCCAAAUAAUUAAGCAAGUAUCAUCAAACAUGAAUAAUAAUAAAAAAAAGAACUUACAAGGUCUGCCUUAAAUGCAAAAUGUUCUGGGUUGAUCCUCCUCACCUCUUCCAAAAAAAAAAAAAUCUUUUACGUGUCCCUCUUCUCUACCAAAUAAUUCUCCCCCCAUUGAAUCUUCUCAUUCUCUUUUUCUAGGGAAAUGUCUUCUUUUUUAGAUAGAAGUGAAGUAGGUUUAGAUAGUGAAAUGGAGUACAGAGAAAUGUGGAAGAGUGGGAGAACGUGAGAGAUUGGGGAAGAAGGUGGAAGAGUGGGAGAACGUGAGAGAUUGGGAGAAAGUAGGAGGGUUGUGACUCAGGAAAACAGGGGAUGGUUGAGAAAAAUAGGGAGAAGAAAAAAAAAAUCUUUACUUUUAAAUAUGUUUUUAUUUUUGUUUUUGUUUUAAAACAUAAAUUUAAAAAUUAAGAUUUAAAUUUUAGAAUUUAAAUUUAAAUUCAAAUUCAAAUUCUUUAAAAAAAAUAAUAAAUUAAUUAAUGAAAAAAAUAAAAAGGCAGGACAAAAUACGGUAUCUACAAUCAUGAUCUUUGUUUACAAUCCAUUAUAAAUUUUGAAUUUUUUUUUCAAAGUGUUAUUUGGUUCAAGAUUGUGCACAAAGUAUAAGAUCGUGUACCAAAUAUAAUAUAUAUUGGUACACAAACUUGAACAAAAAACGUUGGGAUAUUAGUAUUUAGAUUUAGCUACAACCAAAUCUAAAUCUUGAAAAAAACUAUUUGGAUAUUAGUACACGAUCGUUUAGAUUUGGAUAGUGUAGUCAAAUCUAAAUGAUUGUGUAACGAAGAAUCUACCCAAGUUUAAACGAUCGUAUAGCCAAAUCUAAACGAUCGUGUACCAAAAAAAUCUUGAAAAAAAAUCGUUAAGAUAAUGGUACACAAUCGUUUAGAUUUGGGUAGUCAAAUCUAAACGAUCAUAUAGACAAAUCUAAAUGAUCUUGCUAAGAUCAUAUACCAAAUAUAUUAUGCGCGUGAGUGCCAAACGAAUCGCGUGUUGACGGAGGCGUUUUUGGUAUUUUUUUAGUGUAGACUUGUGGGCUUUUUUCGUUUUCAAAAUUGUUCUAUAUAUAAUAAAUAUUUUUCCGCUUUGUUAUAUUUUUUUAAAAAAACCAUUAAAAAUAUAAUUAAUUAAUUUAAAUUAAUAAUUAAUUAUAUCAUAUUUAAUUAAUAUUUCAUUUAUAUCUUUGUUGACCAAAAAAUUUCAACCAAUUAAAUUAUGCCAUGUCAUCACAACAAACAUUGUAAUAAUUAUAAUUUGAUUGAGUUUGUGCAAUUAAAUUUUCUCAUACCCAACCCAAUUCAGGCCCUAGAUAUAAAAAUUGGGCCAAACGAGAAUAAUGGGCCCAACCCCAAGUUCAGACGAUAAAUAGACCCGAGCUCAAGCCCAAUAGACAAAAUGGACCCAAGCCUAAAUUCAACAGUCAAAUGGGCUCAAGCCCAUCUGAAGCCCAUGAAAAUUCUCUAUAAAUAGAUACAUUUCCAUUCAUUUUGAAGAUCUUUGGUUGAAAGGAGAAUUGAAGCUCUGAAUAAUUGAAGACUUAAACUUCUAAAAAGCUCUCAACACAUGCAAGUUCUUUUCAGCCUCGAGAUCAAUAUGUUCUGAAAGAUUGAAGACUAAACUUUCCUAAGAUUCCAGAAGAUUGAACCUCAAAUUGAUUUGCAACUACAACUUCUUGAAGACCGAAGAUCAAGAAGUUAUAAGUUUUAAUUUGUACUCAAGAGAAAGCAUCAAAUGAGUAAAUAUUAAAGAUUGUAUCCACAACACCAUAUAAAGCAAUAUACAAAGUUUAAUUCUACGAAUCAAACUUCUUCGGAAAUCUUGUGUGAACAAUCAUAUUUAAAUGAAUCUCUCUCAUAUAAUCUAUAGUUUGAAGGGGUUUUUUCAAAUAUACAAUAAAGCGGCAAAAUAUUUACACUAUAUAGAACACUUUCGAAAAUAGGGAAAGACCACAUGCCCACAAUGAAAAAUAACAAAAAUGCCCUCGUCAACACGUAAUUAAUUUGGCACUAACAAGAUCGUUUAGAUUUAGCUACACGAUCGUUUUGAUUUGGCAACCCAAAUCUAAACGAUUUUUUUCAAGAUUCAUUUGCUUGACGAUUGUUUAGAUUUUGGUAGUCAAAUCUAAACUAUUUUUUUCAAGAUUCUUUGGUAACGAUCGUUUAGAUUUGACUACACGAUUAUUUAGAUUUGUAUUACACCAUCGUUUAGAUUUGGCUACCCAAUUCUAGAUGCUUUUUUUCAAGAUUCUUUGGUACACAAUUGUUUAGAUUUGGUAAUUUGGCUACCAAAUUUAAACAAUUUUUUUCAUGAUUCUUUGGUACACGGUCGUUUUGAUUUGGCUACCUAAAUCAAAAUAAUUGUGUUUUAAGCUCCAACAAUUUUUCAAGAUAUUUUAUAUUUGGUACACGAUCAAGAUCUUGAACCAAAUAAUACACGAUCGUUUAGAUUUAUGAUUGAUUGAAAAAAAAAAUAAUUAUUUCAAAAGAAAAAUGAGAGAAGAUAAGAAAAGAAAGAUGAUGGAAAGGAAAGAAAAUAGCAAAAGAAGAAGAGAAAAAAGACGAUGAAAAGGAAGGGUACACCUAAAAUAAUUUUAAAAAAUGGUCAGAUUCAUGAAUUUUUUUAUUUUGUUACACGAAUCGUAAAUAUUUUGUCGGUUUGUUAUAUUUAUGAAAAUUAAACUAGUUUUAAUAUGAAUCUAAUUCAUAUUAAAUUAAUAUUUGAACUCAUUCAAAUAUUUUAUUCUUCCAUAAAUUAAUUUUGAAUCAUAUCCAAACUAAAUUUAUAUAAUAAAAUUUAAUUAAAAUAUAAACUUUAUAUUAUAUUAAUUUUCUAAGUAAAUUUGAACAUCAAAUUAAAUCCUAUAUAUAUUAACCUCAUUACCCUUUGCAAGCUAGGAAUGAGAGACCCAAUAGACCUACAAAUCAUAAGGUCAAACGAUAUGAGAUUAAUUGGCUAAACUCGUUAACCACAUUAAUCAAUAUUCAUUAGCUGCAUGCACACUCCACUAAAGAUUCAUGGGUGAACUCUUCUCACUGUAGAUAUAUUUCUAUGUCUAUUGAUAUAGACUAAUAACAGUAAGUUAUUCAUUCGCAAGUGUCUAUAACACCACUUCGGUCAAAUUAACGUUGUACCCCUAUGUUACUUAUAGGCCUUAAAUAACAAUGCUCCUCUUACGAACAACCUGUUUAUGGUUCAACUAAUAAACAAAAACCUCUCUCGUGCCAUAGAGAGAGUAGGACUCUUGGUUUAAGUUCCAGAAACACCAUGUAAGGGAAAAUUCAUUUACUUACCCUAAAAACAGGAAGGAGUAAAUUUCCAUCUUGUGUGAUUAUGUUAUCAGAUCCCUUUUCGAUCUUGUCUCUCCAAUAUGAUAAACUUAUCGAGUCUGUAAUCUGAUCACUCUCACAUGUACAAAUCAAAGGACAAUCCAUCCUAGACAAGAGUUUAUAAUACACUCAGGAUUAAGACUAAGUUACCUAAGUCAUCCUAGUGAAAUAGAAACCUAACUAGCUAACGAAGUUACAUUUAGUGGUUACUAUUCCGUGAUCGGUCUUACGCAAACUCAUUGAAUAAGAUACCCUCACUCGCAUGUCACCUACACAAACGCGUUGGAUCAUUGUGUAUUUAUAUCAAAUACAAAGAGUGCCCUAUCCAUAGUGUUACCAGAAUAAGAUACACAACUUUAUCCUUAUACUAUAAACCCUUUAAGUUGUAUCUCAAACAUUGAUCCAUGUAUGUGUCUUUAGAUACAAUUCAAGACUCAUCAAACAACUUAGGAUGUUAGUUUAUUGGAUUAAGGUUAUUAAGACAAAACUAAUAAUUUAAUCAAUAACAUAUUAUGUAAAAUAAUAAUAAUAACACUUUAUUAACAACUGUCAAUGGAUUAUAUUUACUAUCUAAUAGUUUUAGGACAUAAAACCCAACAUGUUGAACCUUUCUUGGGUGGUUGUCGGUGAUUUCAACGAAAUUUUGGCAGACGAAGAGAAAAAUGGAAGGCAUCUUAAGAGUCAAAAGUAUUUAGAUGUUUUCUGGAGAACUCUGAGCAUUUGCCAUUUUAUGGACCUGGGCUAUGAGUGGGACAAGUUCUCUUGGAAAAGGAAGAUUAAGGGGAAAAUUAUGGCCAAAGAGAGGCUCAAUAGGUUCUCGUGGCAAACAAUGAAAUGAUUUUGUUAGUUUGUUUGUCCAUCAUCUUAGCUACCACAAUUCUGAACAUCGCCCAAUUCUUCUUAAUGUUGUCCUAAAGGUGAGAUGGAAAGUGAGGCCAUAAAAAGUCAAAAGCAGCAAGUUUGGUGAAUGUUAGAUAAACAUUAAAGAUUGUAGAAGUAUCCGUGAGUUUUUCUGGAGGUUUAUCAAGAGUACUAAGGGCACAAUUAUCACAAUUAAGAUUCAAAAAUGCAUUAGAAGAAUUGUGAUGCUCCCACCGCGAACAAUUCCUUAUGUUUCAGGUGUGGACGUGACUUGGACAACUUCAACGAGUGAAGCACCAUAACACCCAGACUUAAACUUAGGCUUUAACUUUUACUUAGAGAGAUCGUUCUUAGUGAUAUAAAAAUACAACACAUCAAAAAUUGGAAGAGUCGAACAACUUUAUUAAGCUUAACAAACUUGAUACAAAUACAAGACAAUCAUUCACUAAAAAUUAAAACUAAAACUAAACUCCUAAACUUAAACUUCAACGCCUUGUACAACUCUUAUUGUCUGGCAUAAGGCAGCGGUUUGCCUUCUCCAUGCGGCCUCCUUGCUUCGCUUACCUGAGAAAGGAGAACUUAAAACGUAAGCCUAAUGCUUAGUGAGUGACAUUUUAAGGAAACGUUUUUUUAAGAAUACAAGCACAUGGAUAAAAUCAUCUUACAAGAACAACUCCUCAGUGCCUUAACAUGCGCGAAGAACAAUAAACACCAUAUUAGCCUCUACUUAUUCCUUUCGUUUGAACGUUGAACUUCCACAACACUAGUUGAUUUGGUUUCAUUUCAUGCUUAGGUUCUCUCAAGAAGUUUAUUCGAAGAUUGUCAUUACUAACUCUAAAAGUAACAACUAUCAGAUGACGAACUAGGAUUAUGUGAUAAAAUGUGCAUUUUCUGUCAUGCAAGUUUUCCUCUCUAUCGUCCAAGUAUAAGCUAAGAGAGGUUACCUGGUAAGUCCAUGAUCGAACAUAGAGAAUUUCAAUCUCCUAACUUAUCUAAUUGCGUGCAAAAUCAUGCGGUAUAAACUGUGGAGUGAAAGAUGAAUAAUCCUAGCUUUUUACAUUAUGGUGCUUGGCAGUGCAAGGUGAACGAUGUUCUUCAACAUAGGUAAGGUAGAAUGACUGAUGUUUCAGCACUUAGAGGAGAUGUAAGCAUCUAUAAAUAGUGAAUCAAUGUGAACACCUCUCAGUGUUAUAACAUACUUGCUCACCUCUCGGGAUGCAAAUACACGAGUUAAAUGACGUGUUAUAUCUAAUUAUCAUGAAUGUAGUGACAAUAGCUACUCCUUAAUUAAGGUAUACACUUCUUAGUGCUUUUUACCACACAAAUUGACCUCUCAGUAAUGUAUGAUGGAGACGAGUUUAACAACAAGAAUGCAUUGCUGCAUUUUCUUCACCACUUGCUUAGCUAAGAGUGGUCUCACCUAUUUGAUGAUGACGACUUCAAAUGAAAAUUGUUAAGAUACUUAAACUUAACUGAACAAAACUCUUACUACACUCACUAUAACUUUCUAAGUAACAAAGAUCUCAUUCAAUGUUGUCUAACUAUUUAAUCAUACAUAUAUAGAAUGAAAAAGAUAGAUGGGGAAUGGAAUAAGAAAUGCAUUGCUUUCAUAUAUAAUAUUUUAGACCUUUCGGUCAUAACAUUUUGUUUAUAAAGCAUUACAAUAUAAAAGCACAAAAGUGAAAAUACAAUAGAGAUGUAACGCUACAGAGUUUGAUCUCUCAUUUUCUUUGGCUCUGAUUUCUACCUAUAUGUGAAGGGGGUUAAUGAAAGUGGUGAAUAUCUAUCUCUCUUUUUGUGGCUUUAAGCUCUCACCUGGAGAAAAUGGAGAAUGUAAAGAACUUGCUUUUUCGGCCAACUGUGCACACGCUAAAAAAGUGGGAAACUGUUUAUAUACUUGAAGUGGCGCUGACAAGCUGAUACGCGCCAUUAAUGCUUCUGAAAAAUUAUAGUUAUGUUGCGCCGCCAGCCCCAGUUGUUCUUUUCUAACAUUCCCACCAACCUCUUCUGUUUGCUAGCGGCUUGAUCGCCUAUCAUUUGUUUCCUCACAUUGUAGAGGUCUCUAGAAUCUCCUUGCGCACCAUGUUCUCUUCGCUUAGCUUCACUCUUAUUUGCUUAAUAAUCUACGAUAAUAUUACUAAAAGAGGAUUAAACAUGUAUGUAGUUCUUUUGCAGUAAACUUUUCGUAGAGUAAUUAAAUUGCCUACUUAUUCUCUUUAUUUUCUCAUAUUUUCAUGUGGUAUGACUUCAUUAUGUUACUUAAGAAGCUAUAUUAACUUUUAUCUCUACAAGUUAUCAAACACAUAGGCCAUUGUGAUGAUUCUCAUUUUACCACCAGAAUUUUUGUAGACCCUCAUUCAAUUCCAGUUGCUUAAGUAGUUAGCUCAAAUGUGGACCUCUCAACGCAUCUAGCCACCUUCUUGUCAUGCGGACCACUCAACGCAUAAUUGCCUUAACUCUCAUAUGUACAUAACAACUAGCUCAUGAUAGGAAUAAAGCUAAUGGUUUAUUCACAUACAAGCAACAUAAAACUCAUACUUUAACUUGCAACUUUCAAAUGGUCAUGCUUUUCAUUUAAAACAUAAACAAGAUUAUAACUUAUAUUAUACUGUACAUAACAUAACAGGACUUUGAAAGAAAUGCUUUAAAAAUGUAUGUUCUUUUCUUUGGAAGGGACACGAAAUCAAACGUUUCCUCCUAAUUCCUUCUGAACGCCCAACUUAUCUUAAGUUUUCCUCUCCUCGCCUGAUAUUCUUUUGGCAAAGCCUUAACACUUAGAACUUCCUUCUAACUUCUUUUAAACUCACAAGGACCCUUUAUAUUAAUCCUAAACUGAAUUAGUCAUCCUUAAACUCGUCUUAGCUUGCAAACUCCUACUUAGUGCCUUACACAUAAUAGUUUAGUAUCCCUUUUAAUCUGUGCUUAACUUAAACUUAACACGUUUUUAGCUGAUUAAUCAUUUAGGUCUAACAUUUAAUUGGCUUCUCCUCCCCUAGCUCGUCACUUGAUAAUUGGUUAAGUGUUUGUUGUUGCCUUUCCUUCUCGCGUAAUCUUGUCUUAGUCUUCAUUGCCUAACUUCAUUACCCGUACUAACCUUCCUCUUGUCGCUUAGCCAUAAUGCUUACUUCUUCAAAAUGCUUAAUUCUUACACAAAAAAUUUCAACUUCCUUCCUUAUAAAAAUCCUUUGGUAUAACCCCUCCACUUCAGAAUGCGAGCUUCACAAGAAUAACUAAUUGGAACAGGAAUAAAGUCAAUGAGGGCUUGAAAGUGUAAAUUGAGAGAAAGACUGAAAAGCUUAAAGCUCUUGAUCAGAGUGAUUUGAAAGUGGCAGAUCAUGUGAUUGAGAAGUGGAAAAGGAGAUCAGAAGUUGGUUGAAGAUGACCAAUACUGAACGAUUAGAUCUUGAGAAAAUUGGCUCAAUUGGCGAGAUAGAAACACGAAAUGGUUUCAUUCUCAGGCAAAUCAGAAGAGAAAAAUAAAUAAAAUUGAGAGGUUAUACAACAUUGAUUGUAGCUAAAUUGAUGAAGAUGAAGCAAUUAGUCACAAUGUGAUCAUUUAUUUCUCGAUUAUUUUCAAAUAUUAGAGACCUAAUAUAGAGGAAAUUGAUAAAAUCUUGGAAGGUGUCAAAUAAAAAAUCUCUCCUCAACAAAGUCAGUGGCUAGAUGCUACUUUUACUAAAACUGAAGUUGAAAAUGCUCUAAAAGAUAUGCAUCCAACAAAAGCUCUAGAUCCUAAUGAAGCUCAUGCAAUCUUGUUCCAGCAUCAUUAUAAUAUAUAAUGGGGGAUGUGAUCACUUGUAGAAAUACAAGUUAUUAUAGUCUUUUAGAUAAAAUAUUGAGACCAAAAUGCACAAUAAGUGUGUCGAAACGCGUAGCUUAUGUUGUAAAUUGAUAAAUAUUUAGAAAUACACUUUACGUAAGCUUCCAUGUCUGUUUUAUCGUGUUUUCAGUGUCUUAUUGUAGGAUUAUGAAUAAAAGAAGAAGCUAGCAAAUUGUAGAGGAACUUGCCCAAAGACUACGCGAGAAGAGGUUCUCUAGAAGACAAAAAUGGUAGAUGGAGUUGAUGUGACUUGACACAAGCACUUUUGGCACUCAUAUGCCCGGACGAUUAAAUUUUUCACCUAAAUUUGCCUAUAAAAAGGACUCCAUUUCAAAGAGCCUGAAUAGGCCGAACCUUAGAGAGUGGUGGAAAGAAUUAGUCUUUCCACCCUUUAUAAAGUAUUUCUUCCUCUUCUCCGGUUAGUCUAAGUGAAGAAGAUCUCAUUCCCAUCUCCUCUAACUUGUAAUGUCAUUUCUAUUCUUUUCGUUUUGUAUUUUAUUGUAAUGUAUUCUAUUCAUAUUGUAUAGUGGCCGAAGACCUUUAUUCUUUAAUACAUUGCAUAUUUAUAUCUUUCAAUCCAUCACCUCAUUAUUGUUCAUCUGUCCCUAUGUUAUUUGUAGUUUAAGAUUUAUGAUAGAUUCUUGAUAAGAAGACUAACUUAUAUUUCUUAUCGGAUUAGUUGAGCUAUAAUCAUCACCUGACCAAUGUGUAUCGUUAACUACCUGAGAGGGAAAGUAGAACAUAUGUAGAUAUUUGGUGUCGAGAGGUUGUCACCCUUAAAAGAGAAGCUCUAUAAGUCUUGUAAGUGAAACCUUCUAGGUAUACAUUGCUUAAAUCAACUUAGUCAUUUAUAUCUUGAGUGGUGAGCAAGUAUUAGGUUUAAAGACACAGAGAGUCUACUUUUCUUUCACUCUUUCUUUUAUACAAGUUAGUUCAUAAUUCCAUCUCACAUCCAUCAUUGACUCCCCAUUACCGAUUCUCUAAUGUAGAUAAGUAGAUAAGUAGAUAUAGUUUAAAGUGACAUUCUUUCAUACUGUAUAGUUAUUCUUUUAUACUGCCCAUUUUCAAUCCAUUACUUCUUUAUUAUUCAUCUAUCAAUGUGUUAUUUGUAGUUUAUGAUAUUUGAUAGAUUCUUGAUAAGAAGCCUAACUUAUAUCUCUUAUCGUGUUAGUUAAGCUAUAAUCAUCACCUGACCAGUAUGUACCACUAACUACCCGAUAGGGCAAGUAGUAAAGAUAUGACUAACGCGCGUAAGGAGUUUGGAGACAAACUUCACCUUAGCAAAAAAACUUCUAUCAUUUGUGUCUCGAAAGGAGAACAAAGCGUGGGUAUUUGGCACCGAGAGGUUAUCACCCUUAAAUGAGAAGCUCUAAGUCUUGUAUAUGAAAUCUUCUAGAUUUAUCUUGCUUAACGAAACUUAGUCAUUUGCAUCCUGAUAGGUGAGCUCGUGUGACGUUUAAAGGCACAGAGAGAUGCUUGCCUUAAUCAUAAGCUAGUUAACUGAGCUUUAUUGCAUCAAGGUUACCACAUGGCUUAAUCGUCUAGUAAUGCAUAGACACCUUCCUUCACUCUUUCUUUAAUACAAGUUAGUUCACAUUUUCAUCUCACAUCCAUCAUACUUCCCCUUUACAGAUUCUCUAGUGUAUAUAAGUAAAUAAGUAAAUAAAGUUUAAGCUUACACUCUUUUACACUGUAUAUGUGAUUCUUUUAUACCACUUGAAUGAAAAGUAGACUCUAGAAUUAGGCUUUGAUAUCAAUUCUCUGGGUUCGAGCUUAUCUUACCCAGGAAACAUAUUGUUUCACUUAUACUUGGGCAAGCAAUAGGAAAACAUGUACUCAACGAGAACUUAGUACUUACAUAACGAAAAGAUACAUAGUGAGCAUCUAGCAUGCAAUGACCAUGAUCAAUGACUCAUCAUAUAGAAUUAGAUAUAUGCACACAAGAUAACUAUUACACCAUUCUCUAAGUCCGAAGUUAACUCCAACCAAGUAAAGUUUUUGGCGCCAUUGAGUUAGCUACAAAUAGUCUCAAAUAACCUCAAAAGUUGUAGGGUGUCAUGCCUCAUUGACCAUUAUGGGACUUAGGAUGAAGAGUUGAUCAGAGUGUGUUUCAUCGCAUCGGAUGCUAAAAGCAUUCUUAAUAUCAUGUUAGGUUCCCCCACUUUUGAUAAUGCUAUUUAUUAUGGGUUUGAUCUCAAAGGCUUCUUUUCGGUCAAGAGUGCUUACCAUUUGGCUACUAGUCUCAACGAGCCUAAAGAGGCUUUGGUUUUGGAUGAGUUUAAUAUGAAAAAGUGUUGGAACGCUUAUGGAAGACUAAGGUCUUUCCUAAAGUGAAGAUUUGUAUGUGGCAACUGUUAAAUGAUGUUAUCCCUUCAAAGGGCUCAACUUCGAAAGAAUGGAAUCGAGAUAGGCACUUUUUGAAUUUUCUGUAUAAUUGAGAAGGAGUCUACCAUCCAUCUCUUUUUCACAUUGCUAGUUUGUUAAAUAAACAUGGUCCUAUUUUUCUUCCUUAUUUAUGUUUGCCUCUUUUCUUGUGUAGGGACAGUUUAAUAAGUUAAAGUUAUGAGAUUGGUUAGUUGUAAAGCUAUUUAGGAGUUUGGUACCACUAUUUUGAUUUAGUCGUGUAGAAACUAAUGGAAUGCCACGAGUUCUAUCCCUCAUGUAUUGAAAGUUGUGUUGUGCAGGCAUCUCGUCUGAUUGGUCGUGUCACUUUUGAGGUCACUUGUACAGGGCAGUUUGAUAUUACUCUUUUAGUGAAGAGUUAGGUGAUUCAUAAUGAUUGGAAGCCUCUGUUAGCUGUUGAAAAUUGAAUGUUGCUGUUGCGUGGUGCGAGAAGUCUAGUUUUGGUGGCCUGGGCUAGAUCGUUCGUGACUCCUCAACUUUGAUUAGGUUGAAUUUUCAGUGGAUACAUCAAUGGUGGAAGGUCAAAGUUUUAGAGAUAAAAGCCAUUGAGAAGGGCUUGUGGGUGCUUUAUUCUAAAUUUGGGUCUCUUUUGAAUUGGGCUUCUUUGCUAGUGGUGGAAUCAAACUCUAUUGAAGUCGUUGGUGCUUUGUUGAAUCAUGAUAGGGAUCUGUCUGAGAUAAAGACAUUAGCUUGUAAGGUGGUGUCUUUGAUUGUGUGCCUUGAGACCGUUUUCUUUUCUAAUUAUCCUUAUAUUUGUAAUAUGGUUGCACACUUGUUGGUCAAGUUGGUGCUUUUGUCGCUUUUGUCCUUUUUUGGGCUCAUGUUUGUCUUCCUCUUUCUUGGAAGGCUUUAAGAAGUGUUUUUGAAAGGAUGAUAUCCUCGAUGACAUCUCCUAGUGCAUGAAGAUUUUUUUGGAUUUGUAGUUGUGUUAGUCUGUUGACGGUGUUAUGUUUUCUCAAAAAACAAAUAAUAAUAUAAAUAAAUAAAUAAACAUAGGCACUCAUUUGAAGGAACUCAUAUUACUUCAUAUUGAAAAUAUAAACUUGGGACUAUCUAAUUGAAUGUUAAUGUUAGAACAUAUUUCCUAAAAUACAUCAACUCUCCCAAUAUUUUCUGAUUUUGAUUAACAAAAACUAUACACAUCAACAAUAAAUUUGUUGUUUAAAAAAGUUCUUCGUUCUCAUCAACAAUGAAAUGAUAAAUUAGAGGUGUAAGUCCAACCUGAAUAACCUGGAAAACCCGGACUACCCAACCUAUAUUAUAUGGGUUGGGUUGGGUUGGGUCUCAAGUUGGGAUUGAAAAAUUCGGUUCAAGUUAGGAGUAUUUUGUUGAACAAUCGUGUAGGAAGUUAAAUGAUCGUAUAGAAAGUUAUCUGAUUGUGUAAGAAGUAAACAAUCGUUUGAAGAUAGAAAACUAAACAAUUACGUAAGAAUGUAAACGAUUGUUUAAAGACUAAACGAUCGGAGUUGGAAAUGAAAAAUAAAACAACCCAACCCAACCCAACUCAAUCCAUAUUUUACUAGUUGUGUUAGGAUGGGUUGGGAAAUUAAUUUGGGUUAUUUUGGUUGCCAACCCAACUAACUCAAAAAUAUGGGUUGGGUUGAGAAUACACCCCUAUAAUAAAUGACAAAAGUAGAUCAUAUAAUUAACAAAUUGUGAAUUAAGAAAUUACAUACUUAUUUGGAAGGAGUAUCUAAAUGCUUAACAAAUAAUUUUGAAGAGUAAGAAAUGGAAUAUUUAGCAUUUGAAAAGUUGUUAAUCUAAGCACAAUUAAGUGAACAAAGACAUCAUAAACCAUCUCAAAGAUUGAUGAUUCGAUCAUUCAUUUCUAUCCUUAUUAAAAGGAACAUUUUCAAAUAUGACAAAAUAAACUAAAAUAUGAUAGAACUAAGUCAUGCACAGCGGAAAAAGAAUCGAAUUUCUACCAUAAUUGCCACAAUUAACAUAUAACCAUAAACUAAUCAAAUUAGGGUUUUAAGAAAUAUUACCUUUGAAGCUUUCAAAAGGUUUGAUAUCUUCUUACCAAUUCUAACCGAGACCACCACUAGUACUCAACUGCUAUCCUCUAGACAAAGAACCGGGUUGUGGGACCCAAUUUUGGUGUAGAAAGUAAUGGAGAUAAAAUGGGAUUGGAAGUUUUUUUUUUUUCUUUUGUUGAGAUGAUGAAAAUGAUAAAAGAGGCAAAAGAUUUUCAACAUUUGAAAACACCUCUAUUUAUAACCUAAUUACAUGCAAAAAUGCAUGCAAUUCAUUUGCGAAAUCUCAACACCUAAUGUUCCGCUAACAAUUAGUGGAACUUAGUGGGCUAGGUGUCUAUAUCUCAUAUAGCCACAUAUCCCACUAAGAGUUAGUGGGAUUAUCCAACAAAAUGUUGGAUUUUCCCACUAACUUAGUCCAAGGGUAAAAUGGUCAUUAGAUAUUUCUAGUCAAAAGUCAAACUUUGACUUUUCUUAGUCAAAAGUCAAUAUUUUGACUUUUUACCAUUUUGUCCGUCUUGACUAAUUCCAACCUCCCGAGCAUGAAUCCGCAUUCAUUUUUCCAAAAUUCAAAUCACAUUUGAAUAUAAGGCCGGUCAAAGUUUGACUUUUCAAAGUCAAAAGUCAACAUUUUGACUUUUUACUAUUUUUGACCAAUUCCAUCAAUUCCGAGCUUCUUAGUAUGAAUCCGCAUUCAUACUUAUAGUAUGUAAAACAUAAAAGCUCUAUUUCUAAUUAGAAGACCGACGACUAUAUCACUAUAUUUGUCGGUUUCCCUUUCUUCUCCCAAUUCGAACAAUUCGACUUAUUUCAUCACACUGUUCUAAGUUUAAUCCAUAUGAGCUAGCAGAGGAACCUAAUGGACCUAUAGAUCAUGGGCUCCAACGAUUCAAGAUUAACUAGCUAAACUCUUUUAAACCGAGUUAAUUAACAUUCGUUAACUAACGGGUCAUUCCACUAAAGUCCCGUAGUUGCACUCCCCUCACUAUAGAUAUAUUUGUGUCCAUUUGAUAAAACCAUAAUCAGUAAGUUAAUCCUUCACAGGUUGCUCGUAACCUUGGCUGGGUCAAAAUACCGUUUUACCCCCAAGAUUACAUCUUGCUCCUUAAGUCCCACUAAUCCACUAUUGAACAAUUGGUUUAAGGUUCAACCUAUAAACUUAAUCCCUCUCGGGCCAAUGAGAGGGUGGGGCCCCUUGUUCAAGACUUGGAUUCAGUGCUUAAGAGAGCAACCUAUCUACUAACCCUAAAGCGGGUAGGAGUGAAUUCCAUCUUGUACCCUAUGUUCCCAGCUAUCCACCCGAUCUUACCCCUGAAAUGGGAGGCUUAUUGGGCCAACGCUGAUGAGCUGCCCUCACCUAUGCAGAUCUAAGGAUAAUCUCGUGUGAACAGGAGUUCAUAGUUAACUCAGGAUUAAGACUAAGUUACCUAGGUCAUCAAUAAUUGAGAUAGUCAGUUUUAAACAGUAAACGGUGUUAUAAAGUAAAAAAGACUAAUUCAUGGUUUAGUCUUAUGUAAACAUUUUACAUAGGAUGCCCCCACUUUUCAUGUCUCUACAUGAACGAUUAGGAUCACCUCGUUUGUACUACAAAGUGAGCCGCAUCCAUAGUUUCUCUAAAUAAGGCGCCCAACCUUUAUUUCAUAUACUAUAGACUAUUUAGGCUAUAUACUCGAACUUGAUCCACGUUUAUGUUUACACAUAAAGUUCAAGUUUAUUCAAAAAUAGCCUUGAAACUUGAUUUAUUGGAUUUAAGAUUAUAAUAUUUAAUUUCUCAAUAACAACUUUAUUGAACAGAAUAUGAUUUACAAACUACGAGUUUUAGGACAAAAAAUUCCAACAAAAUAUUCACAAAACAUAGCAUUUUAUCCGUGUGUAUCAGUGAUGUUGAUGUUUAUCAGUGGUAAAAUCUAAAAUUUUACUAUAUUUUGUAAAUAUUUUUAGCAGUUUCGUCAUCUAAAAUAAGUUUCCAAUAAAAGAAGAAUCACGUGAAAAUUUAUUUUGGAAUGAACAAAAGUUACUAGUAUGUACACAUUUUCACAAGAUUUUUUUUUCUAAUUUACUCAAUUUUAACUUUUAAGCUAAUACUGAAGCAAAAAAACAAAAAACAAAAAACAAAGUUAGAGUGUCUUUAUACAAAUUCAAACUAGGGAUAGUUACAAAUUUAGCAAUUAAAUUCAAAAUAAUUAAGUAUACGCAAAAUUUUAAAAAGUUUGUCAAAUUCUAUCAAUAAUAUAAGUCUAUCACCGAUAGACCAUGUUAUACAUAUUGAUCUAUCAUUGAUAGACUAUACAAAGUUUAUCAACGAUACAAGUUUAUCGGUGAUAGUUUUACUAUAUUUAUAAUUUUUUAAAAAUGUUGCUAUAUCUUUGUUAUUCCUAAAAUGUCCUCCAGUUUCCCUUGAAAGAAUGACUAAGAAAAUACGUCAUAUUUACAAUUAAUGAAUUAAUUGACUUGGCCCAGCCCAAUCAGAAACCCUAGGUGGCGCAAAAGGAAAUGCUUCAUUGAGACCGCAUAUUCAGCCUCACUAUUACUUUUCACCCGCACUCUGUUUCCUCCUCACCCGCACUCUGUUUCCUCCUCACCCGCACUCUGUUUCGCUUGUUGUACUUCUCUUUUCUGGUAGCUCAAGGGAAACUCUCUCUUCCUUUGCUGUCCCUUCAUCGUCUCUCAGCUUCUUCUUUCCUGUAACAACUCUCUCUCUCUACGCUUCAUUUCCUUGCAAUUGUGUCUAUUUUCCUUCACUCGUGCUUUCAUUUAGGUUUUGUGCGUUUGAGAUCUGUUUUCUUAGUCUUUUAUAUUCGAUGAGUUUGUUUUAGAUCUGUUUUUGUUGUUGCUGGUAUUCGAUAUAUUAAAUGGUUUAAUCAAUUGUUGCGAUGUGUACUUAGAUUAUGAGAUUUAAGUUGACGAGUAAGCUACGAAGAAGCUUUAUGUUGAAGAUUAUUGCUAAAUUACUUUCUACUAUUUGAUCUGAUUAUUCCCUCGUUUAACAGUGAUAUAUUAAUUUUUUCUGGCAGUUCAUUGUUUCUAAAUCUUGGACAUCAGGAAAUUUGAAGACUUGUCACGAUGGUUAGUGUGCUCUUCUCUUGACGAUGAUAAUGUUUGGGAUCUGAAAAGUUCUUUAAUAAUCUUUAAUUUUUUGUGUGUUCAGGUGAAGUUUACAGCCGAGGAGCUUCGUAGGAUUAUGGACUAUAAGCAUAACAUUCGUAAUAUGUCUGUUAUUGCUCACGUCGAUCAUGGUAAAAUUUUUAACAUGGGCUGAUUUUUUAGGGUUAUCAAUGUUGGAAGAAAUAAAAAUCUUUCUGUUGGACAUUAAUUAUAAAGAUGCGCACCAAUUUAAGUUCACUUCCGCACUAAGUUUUUGUUAGCUUAAUGAUGCUUCUAGUUGAGGCAGGCCUAUUUGAACUAAAUUUUUUUUGCUGAUAUAUUGGAUCUUUUUGGAAAGAAACAUCAAGAAAUUUAACGAUCAGGAAACUCAUGUAGACUACUUUAUGGCUAUAUUUGUGGUGUUCACUCAUGAUAUCGUAUGCUUGAUUGUUAUAUACUCGCUGAUCUAUGAAACCGAGAGGAUUUUUCUAUUUUUAUGGGUGACUUCCUCUUAGCUUGGCUUUCUUCUCUCUGCAAUUCCAUACAUGUUUCCUCUAAAAAACUAUUGCUUGAGCUUAUAUUUUCUCAUUGAUCUAAAUCAUUCGUAUUGACAGUAAAAGGAACAUUUUAUGUUUCUUACGAACUAAUCUUAAAUUGUUACUAUGCAUCUAUUUUAACCCUUAUUUGAUCACCCCCUUUUUCCUUCUAUUUCAGGAAAGUCGACACUUACAGAUUCUCUUGUGGCUGCCGCGGGUAUCAUUGCACAAGAAGUUGCCGGUGAUGUACGAAUGACAGAUACUCGCCAAGAUGAGGCAGAGCGUGGUAUCACCAUUAAAUCUACUGGAAUCUCCCUCUACUAUGAGAUGUCUGAUGAAUCCUUGAAAAGUUACAAGGGAGAGAGACAUGGAAAUGAGUAUCUUAUCAAUCUUAUUGAUUCACCUGGGCACGUUGACUUCUCGUCGGAGGUUACAGCUGCUUUACGUAUUACUGAUGGUGCCCUUGUUGUGGUGGAUUGCAUCGAAGGUGUUUGUGUCCAAACAGAGACUGUGCUCCGUCAGGCUUUGGGAGAGAGGAUUAGACCUGUCUUGACUGUUAACAAGAUGGAUAGGUGCUUCCUUGAACUUCAAGUGGAUGGAGAAGAGGCUUAUCAAACAUUCCAGAGGGUCAUUGAGAAUGCCAAUGUGAUUAUGGCCACGUAUGAGGAUCCACUUCUGGGCGAUGUUCAAGUGUACCCGGAGAAAGGAACAGUUGCUUUCUCUGCUGGUUUGCACGGCUGGGCAUUUACCCUGACUAACUUUGCCAAGAUGUAUGCCUCCAAGUUUGGAGUAGAUGAGGCGAAGAUGAUGGAGAGACUUUGGGGUGAGAAUUUCUUUGAUCCUGCAACCAAGAAGUGGACAAGCAAGAACACUGGCACGGCAACAUGCAAGCGUGGGUUUGUUCAGUUCUGCUACGAACCCAUCAAGCAGAUCAUUGCAACUUGCAUGAACGAUCGGAAGGACAAGCUAUGGCCCAUGUUGCAGAAGCUUGGUGUUGUCAUGAAGUCUGAUGAGAAGGAUCUGAUGGGCAAACCACUGAUGAAGCGGGUCAUGCAAACAUGGCUACCAGCAAGUACUGCUCUUUUGGAAAUGAUGAUCUUUCAUCUUCCAUCCCCUGCCAAGGCUCAAAAGUAUCGUGUGGAGAAUUUGUAUGAGGGUCCACAAGAUGAUGUUUACGCUAGUGCCAUUAGAAAUUGUGAUCCUGAGGGACCUCUUAUGCUUUAUGUAUCAAAGAUGAUUCCAGCAUCUGACAAGGGCAGGUUCUUUGCCUUUGGACGUGUGUUCUCUGGGAAAGUUUCAACUGGUUUGAAAGUUAGAAUCAUGGGCCCCAACUAUGUUCCUGGUGAGAAAAAAGAUUUGUAUGUUAAGAGCGUCCAGAGAACUGUCAUUUGGAUGGGAAAGAAGCAAGAAACAGUGGAGGAUGUGCCUUGUGGUAACACUGUUGCCAUGGUUGGGCUGGAUCAAUUUAUCACUAAGAAUGCCACUCUGACAAAUGAAAAGGAAGUCGAUGCUCAUCCAAUUCGAGCCAUGAAGUUUUCUGUAUCUCCCGUCGUGCGUGUUGCCGUUCAGUGCAAGGUGGCCUCUGAUCUUCCCAAGCUUGUGGAAGGACUUAAACGUCUGGCCAAGUCAGACCCUAUGGUUGUGUGUACCAUGGAGGAAUCUGGUGAGCACAUUGUUGCUGGUGCUGGAGAACUACAUCUUGAGAUCUGUUUGAAGGAUUUGCAAGAUGAUUUCAUGGGUGGAGCUGAGAUCAUAAAAUCUGACCCUGUUGUCUCUUUCCGUGAAACCGUUCUUGAGAGGUCAUGCCGCACAGUGAUGAGCAAGUCCCCUAACAAGCACAAUCGACUGUACAUGGAAGCACGACCCAUGGAGGAUGGACUGGCAGAGGCUAUUGAUGAUGGCCGCAUUGGACCACGAGAUGAUCCUAAAGUUAGGUCUAAAAUUUUGUCAGAGGAGUUUGCUUGGGACAAAGAUCUUGCUAAGAAGAUUUGGUGCUUUGGUCCUGAGACUACCGGCCCUAACAUGGUGGUUGAUAUGUGUAAGGGAGUUCAAUACCUGAAUGAAAUCAAGGAUUCCGUUGUUGCUGGUUUCCAAUGGGCGUCAAAAGAAGGUGCAUUGGCGGAAGAGAACAUGAGAGGCAUCUGUUUUGAAGUGUGUGAUGUGGUGCUUCACGCUGAUGCCAUCCACAGAGGAGGUGGUCAAGUGAUUCCGACUGCUAGGAGGGUAAUCUACGCUUCUCAGCUGACUGCCAAACCAAGACUUCUUGAGCCAGUGUACCUAGUGGAGAUUCAGGCUCCGGAGCAAGCUCUUGGUGGUAUCUACAGUGUUCUUAAUCAAAAGCGUGGGCACGUCUUUGAGGAAAUGCAGAGGC